rnacentral:lncRNA from 1 species
GCCGCGAACCUAGUCAAAUUUGGAGAGAGCUUGAUUUGGGUUGACAUAUGCAAGAUUUGGUUCUACAUAUGUCGGGUGGUUAGGAACUCCAGCUGGAUUGCUAAGCGAUUCGAAUCGUCGUUGCUCCCCGAUUGGGAGACUCAAUUCCUUCGACCCUCAUCGUAGUUAAAUAUGCAACUAAGUGAUAAAAUGAGAAAGGGGGAAAUGUCUCCUGAGGUUCGGAUCCCAAUUCCCGGACUCAGAGUGACAUGAAGCUAUGGCCGUUGGAUAGAUAAUACUUUGAUUAAGGACUAGGAACAUACGGACUUGUCUGUAAGAAGCAACUAGGUAGACUGUCAUCGAACUCCUCGGCCUCUUGAGGAGAGGAAUUCAUGGGUAAAACUUGAAAGUAAGGAUGCACUAUUAGUAAGCUUUUUGGCAAAGCAAUUUGGCUCCUUGCUCAGCCACCCCUUGUCUACCCUAAGCCUGCAUUCCUACUUUCUCCUCUUUUUCCACCGGGUAAGUCUUGUUGAGUACUCCCGUACUCAGGGUUUUAUAACCCCUGUUGCAGGUGAAGCUCAGGAGCCGACCUGUUUCGGACCCUAUUGUGUGACCGUCGUCGAGGUUGACGACGAGGAAGAGUGAGCGUGACCCAUGGGCAGGGUCUGUAAAUUUGUACUCCGUGUACUAAAGUUUAAGUUACUCCGCUAGACCUAGCUUGUAAUAACACUCUACUAUUUGGAAGAACUCCUUUUGUAAAUUAAGUUAUGUAAUACUUCCGCUGUUUUACUCUGAAUUAUUAUUUUGAUCUUAUAUUGUCUGUGAUACUGCAAUGUCUUCGCAACGAGUGAUCCUGGUGUUAAGGUGGCCACUUGCUAUCCUGUAAGGGAGAGAAGAAGAAGUUCUCAUUAAUUGACCAUCACUAGUGGUCAGGACGAGUUCGCUUGAUACUCCACAGGUAGCGGUGGAAUGAGCGUCCUGAGAUGCUCAUCGGACUUCUAGAGUGGGAGGAUCCUCGGCAUCACUGUCAGAGGUCUUUGGGACAAUGACAGGUGCCGAUGGGCCCAAACACUUAGGGGGUUCUGCCACAAAUGAAUGGUGUAUGGUGACGAUGGUGAUAACAAUGGUGAAAGUCUAAUUCUAUUUUUGCUCUUUUAAGGGGAUACAUACCUUUCUUGCACUUUGAAGCUUUUUGGGGAGAAUGAGAUGCUCUAUAUUUUCUUUUUCUUUCCUCUCAGGUGGGCAUCUUGCACCCCUAAUUCUACUGUCAGACACUUGUCCAUUUUUACCUCUCGUCUCACUUUUUCUUUUCUUUCGAGGUUCCGGGCACUUGCCCCUUUUUAUUUCCUCGUAUUUUUCUUCUCUUUUUCUUUUUUUAGAGAGCACUCAUCUCCUGAGAUAAUAUAGCAAGUGGUAGUAACCAAGAUAACUCGAGCAUUUAUUUCACAGGGAAUAACAGGGAUAGGAAAAUGUUUUUGGCUAUUCUCUCCCGAAUUAGGAGUAGAAUAAUUUUGGGUGAAUCUGGAGAUGGAAAUGAGUGGAUGUAUGUGGAUGGUACUUCCGGAGUAGAAGUAGCAUGUAUGAGUGAUCGUGCAAGUGAAUCUUGAUUUUAACCACAUGACAAGCUCCUAAGGGUCUACACAGCUUGACCACACUCAAUGCUCAUAAGCAGUAAAAAAGUGAAUAUGUGGCUCAAAGUCUAGCAAGUAUGUAUAUAUGGCUGUGGUAGGAAUUUAAACUCUCAUCAUAUAGGAACUCAUCAUGUGUUAUUUUAAAGAUUUUUCAAAGAUAAAAUUCUCCAGAAUUCUAGCAUCUCUAGGAACAGAUAAACAGCAGCUCAACCUUCCCAUAUCAUAUCCGUUAAUGACUUAGACUUUAGAUCAAGUACACUUCCCACAAGUUCAGGUUUAGAGCAAAUCUUACUUCAUAACAGUCAUGCCUAAACUUGAGAGAGAUUUCAAUUUUAAGAACUAGUCAUGGCAGAGCAACUAUUCAUCAUUUCCAUGUGAGAGUUUAUCAUGAGGGUUCAUAGCAAACUUUAUUUAUUUAUUUAUUUAGAAAACUAAGCAAAAAUAUAUAUAUAAAAUUACAAAAUCUUUAUUUGGGUUUUCAUGAUUAUGCAUCUUUUAUUAUUUGAGUAAAGUAUAACCGCGAGUAGAAAUACUUAGCUGGAUAAAUUGGGGUGCUCUCCCCCAAGCUAGAUUUUGACGUAAUUUCUUCUGAUGUAGCUAGCAGGUGACGGAGGUGUAUUUGAAUGUCGGUAGCACCCUGACAGCGAUUAGGAUGUCCUCCGUCUGCUAGUCUUCUUUGAUCAUUGAAUUCUGUGGAGCUCAAAUAGACAACAAAGCUUUGUGGAACUAGUUAAGUGUUAGCAUAAAUAUCCAGCCUAUAUCUUGUUUAGCCUCCUCAAUAAAUGUUAUUUAAUUAGCAGGAUCAUGCACUUAUUAUUUAUAUUUUUAUUGUAAGAUGAAAACAUAUUUAUUUUAUGCCACCACAGUCAAUAUACCUAUGGGUUUUUAAACCAUAAGUCUACUCACAUGGGGAUUACUAUUUUUAACAUUUUUAUUUUCUUUUCGAGAUGAUAUGAACCUGAUUAACUAAACGAAAUAAUUGAAGGAAAAAAGAUAACUACCAAGUUUACCUCUUGGCAAGGCGUUCGGUGUUUUUAAGUCCUCCGAAUGGGACUCCUUGUGUUUUCAGUCGUCCUGGGAUUUGCUUGGUGGCGUAGUCGGUGGUUCCGGCGGCGCCUCCUCAUCGUGUGUAACUAUCUUCUCUCUCCACACCUGACUCGGUGCUACGGUCUCCUCAGGACAGUUUUGUUCAAGCUGUAUGUCUUCAGACCUUAUCACUUCUCCUUCGUAGUCUACCCAACCGUCCUUGACGAUUUGGGUCCUCUGAUUGCGGUUGCAUCGUCUUCCUCUUGUCCUGACCUGCUUAGAGUCUUCAACUAUAUAGUUAGGGUCAGUAAAGUAGUGGCGUACCUUCUCAGAGGGGAACUACACGUGGACUUCUCCGGUUCCAAUGUAGAUGAUAACUUUGAUAGUGUUGAGGAAUGGUCUUCCAAGGAUGAUGGGUGGAUCGUACUCGUCUUCUCCCAUGUCAAUGACCUAAAAAUCAUCUGGAGCUGAAUGUAUAUUGGUUGUAGGGGCAUGGUUCCAUGCAGGAGCUGAUAAGUGACUGCGGCCAUUAUGUUGACGUCAGAUCCGGUGUCGUAGAGUGUCUUCUGAAAAGAGUAUCCAUUGAUUGUGCACUCGAUGCUUGGAACACCAGGGUCGUCCUUCUUGAUCAGGAAGGGCGACUUGCGUCGACGAUGUUGACCUCUUCCGACAAGGAUCCAAUGUUUUAAGUCUUCUGGACAAGACUUCUCACCGUCUUCAUCCUUUAGGUGCAUCAUUUGAUUAGGUGUGGACAUUGACGUCUGCACUUCUUGAUACGGUGUCACCCAUGUUCUUCGUUUGCCCAGUAAUUCGUAGUGCGGCGUUAGCAGCAUAUUGCUCAGUGUGUUUGUGCUCAUAGAUCCAAGUCCUUCACUUGGUGGAGUCUGGAAGUUGUAAAACUCCUCCAUGUUUUGUUUGAAGUGUACCUAUUCAUAGAGACAAGGCAGAGAUCAAAUGCAUGGGCCCUGUUGGUGGAAAACACCAACAGAACCAAAAGUGUAUUUGUUCUUCUCUAACCUUAAGCAUAGUGAGCAAGACAAAGUUGAUGGAUAAUAAGAUUAUGAGUGUAGCAUUUAAAACAUUUGUCAGAUCAGAUUGCUCAACCUUAUGGAAAGAUAAUAUAUAUAUAUAUAUAUUUUGUUUAUAUCUUCCAAAGAUUGAAUGUGCAACAUAUUAGCUUAUAUGAUUAGGAGCGUGGGAUCACGAAGGUAGUACUAAGAACACAGAGUAAAGGACUAAACAUGUUGAAUCAGUUGGGUUGGUUAAUUUGGAGCUACAAAUCAUACAUGUUUGUCUCUUUAUUUAUGUGAAUGUUAGAACCAAGGAGAAGCUUAUAAAAGCAAUAGUCAAGUACCUUAAGAUGUUACCUUACUUGAAGAGUGACGGUACAGUAUCACCUUGUGGAAGCUUUCCUUUCUUAGCGGUUGUGCAUCGUGUUUGUGGCACCCUCCAUAGAUCAUCUCUUUAUGAUGAAUGAGCUAUGUCCUUCUUGUGCAAAUUGUUAAACUUCAUGUGUCUGCUUUAUCUCCAAUGAGUUUGUAUCUCAGGACUUCCCAAGUUGAUAUUGAAAGUUUUCCUGCAGGGGUUAGUCCAACAAAAUAUACCAAUGUCUACACAAGCAGUUUUUAGUUUAAUAACCGAACUAGACUCCAUGUCUAAUCUGAUUAAGGAAGGCUAUUUAACCUAAGCACCAUGCUUAAUUUAAAUGCCAAUGGAAGUAAAUAGAUAAAAGGUAGCAUGACAACAUUUAUAGAGAUCUACUCAAGUGGAGAUGAAGUAGUGUGAUUAGUACUUAACAAAUUGAGCAUCUCUCAAAGGUAGGGACAACCAACAUAGCAACAUGGCAAAGGAUGUUUUUAUGUAAAGUACUCCCCCAAGCUUGAAUUUUGCGAAAUUCAAGUUUGGAUGAAUUUAAUUCAAUGUUGUAUGAUGGUUGGUUGGACAUACCUUGUGCUUGUCAUUCAUCCGAUCUUCUUGCUCCAAUCCUGGAAAGGUUAGUGGCAAGAAUACCUGAAGGAAUAUUUCUACAAUUAUCUCAGUAUGCUUAAUACACAAGGCAAUGUUGCAAAUAAUUAGAAGUUCAUGUUACGAUCUGAUAAGUGCUUGUUUAAGGACGCUAAGCUUAUCCUUGGGAAACCAUCAAGUUAUGUUGGUGAAGUGGUUUCCCCUCCAACACCUACCUAUUUCAAGAUCAACUCAACGAGAUCUGCAAUAUUUAUUAUAGACAUAUGCAUCGACAACCGCCCUUUUAAAGUUUUUAUAAAUAGAAAGGAAGAGGGGGUUGGAGAUCGCAAAUGUAGUAAGGUUGGAGAGACCAAUUGAUUGAGGAGAUGUCUUAUAUGAGCAAGGACUUGGUGAGGUAUUUAUGAAAUAACUUCCAUGCUCACUGUUGUUUCUCUCAUUCUCAAACUCCAAGGAUGAUUCUUCAUGAAUGCUUAAAAUUCCUCUAGGAUUGUCUCUCAAGUUUGUUUUAUCUAUCCAUUCAAUGGUGAUAGCACAUGGAUUUUUGAUGCCCUCUAGCCAUUCUUCUCGAUCCUCCUUGUGGUCUUGGUGACCCUUAUGCAUGGGAUGUCUAGAGAGAUUCAUAGGAUCAUCGGGAGGUUCAAGAGAAAGAGCAUAGUAGAAAUUAUUAAGCUCACGGAUGGGUUGGAUAGCCGAAUUAUGGGAUUGAAAUGUUUGGAAAUCGGCUAUUGAAACUUCCUUUCCUCAUCUGGGAGAUGAUUCCUUCUCUAUUUCCAAGAUUUUUCUAUGAAGACUAGUACAAGAAGGAUGUCCACGAAUGAAGACAUACCUUGCUUUACUAAUAGAUAAAGAAAGAAAGACUCUACCAAAGGUUAUAUGAUUAAGACCAAUGUGAAAAUAUCUAGGAAAAACAUGGUCUUGUAGGGCUAGGUCUAAACCAUAAUUUAUAGAAAAAUUAAAAGAUUCCCUAAGUGUAGCUAAAAGUGCAUUAUCUUCUUGAUUAAAAGAUAGGACCUCGGCUAUAGAAAAGGGUUGGUUUUGACCUAUUGCAAUCAACUCCGAACACAGAUCAUAAUUAGGGGCAGGACUUGUUGACUCCCAUGGUCUAUGGCUGGUCUCCGAAGGUGCAAAGAAUUUAAUAAUAGGUAUGGAAUUUGAGUUAUCCAUAAAGAUAAAAAUAAAAAGAUAAAAGAAUAAAAGAAUAAAAGUAUAAUACAAGAUAAUAGCAAGAUUCAAAGUUAUCUCAACAAACCGUCUUUCUCCCCGGCAACGGCGCCAGAAAUGCUUGUUGAUAUUUGGUAACGCAAUAAGAAAAUGAUCCGCAAGCGCAUGGAUAUUGGUGAGCAUUUCACCCGGGAGGUUAUCCAGAGUAUCGUAUUUAUAUUUUUACCACUGGGAGAAAGGGUGCAUCUGACUAACCAAAUCUAUUGCUAUUACACCUUUAGGCUACAAAGAAUGUUUCUCGAUGUGAGCGAUGUAUAGAGAAGACUGCAACCAUAGUCUCGUUCUAACCUUGGUAAGGAUGAUCUACUGUUCUAUUGGGGAAGCUUACGGAAUCUAGACACCACAAAGGAUGUUCGACCCGCACCUAUAAAUCCUACCCGUCCUGCUAACAAGAUAUGGGAUACAAAGGUAACUCGGAAAUGUCACGUUCCUCGCUACUACCACGGUCCAGCUAGUCAGGGGAUAUCUAUGAGUACCAUAGCCUAAACACCACAUUUACGCUAGCAAUGAUUACUCUAAUACUCAACCGGAAGAGGAUUAAAGUAAACUCAUAAACCAAAGAACAAGAAAACAAGAACUUACUAGAAUUAGAAGUCGAAUUACUGAAGAAUCCUAGAAGCAAGCCUUGGGUUAGGAGACUUGAUCCCGCAGGUACAACUCGGAGUAGACACCGACAGGCCGGCCUUACUCUGAUCUACACCUCCACUCUAUCUCUCUCAAUCUAGUAGAAACUAGAAGAUCUAUUUCUACUUACAUUGGUUGCUAAGCCUAAAAAGAAAUAUUAUUUAGAGAAGAGGUUUUCCUUCGAGGGCACCCCUCAAUCUCUAUGAUAAGUUCUUGUCUCCUCUAGGGGCCAGGGGGGUCUCCUUAUAUAGUCCUCCUCCUCUAUGCAUUUUUGGGUCGGUAGGCGAGGUGAUACUACGUUAUCUUUGAUCCAUUAGGUCGGUGGAACAUCGUGUGCGAAGAGAGUCCCGAACGGAGUCUACGUCAGGGCGGGCGCCCUGGGCCUGGCCCCUUUCGGCCUCUGCUUUCUUCCCGUGGGUUCUGGAGUCUUCUAGAUGGUAGAAAAUUGCGCGGUGCGUUGAUAUCUCUAUGUAAUCCCGACAUGUGGGCCUUUCUUCCUUAUUUCCUGAUAACCCCCUGUAUAAAUAGACAAACACCAAACCUCGUGGAAUUCUAUCACAUAAAACCCUAAGUCUAGGUGUUGGUUUCAUUUGGAUCCUUUUCUUUGUUUAUUUGAUAAUUAAAUUUGGUACUUAAGGACCGUCAACAACCACCAAGAGGACGAAGACAUCUCCAUCGGUAGCUGCCUCUACUUUGGCACAGGCUUUCAAGGUAAAUUUUCAAACUCUUUCAUCCAUACCGAUUUCAUUCUUACACUUGUACUCACGAAUUUCCAUCCUUGUACCAGCAUACCAGCGCAUCGGCAAGGACCAGAAGCACAAGUACCGAUGCCUCCCAGUCCAGUCAGCCGAAGAGAAAAGGUGCCAAGAGUACCAGAGCACAAGCAAAGCGCCAAAGAGUAGCAACGCCUUCUCCUCCCCCAGUAUCUCUGAUCCCGUUGGAAUCUUCUCCCUCCUCUCUAGAGACUCAGAUACAGCAGAUACCACCUCCUUCUCAGCCACAAGAAGCACCCCAAGUGGAAGAACUCCAACCAGAAGAGCCCCAGCCAGAAGUACCUCAGCCGGAAGAAACAUCGGCUGAUGUGGGCGAGCAGACUACCGAUCCAGCAGGCUCAAUCAUAGCAUCGGUAGUUUCCUCAAUCCAAACAAGCACUGCACCUCUUCAAGAUAAACCUUUACGAAAUCACUGCCGAUGAACCUAGUUUCUUUCUCUUAUAAUUAUCUCUAUUAUUCUUUCAGCUGACAUAGUCCCAUCGGCAACCCCAGCCGAUCAGCCCGUGGUCCCAUCGGCAUCUUCUAGUCAGAGGCGAGAGAUUACCCUGAAACAAGUAAGUCACCCUAUCUAUCUGCAUUAUUUGUCAAUACUUAACCAUAGAAUGACUCAUUUCAUUUCUUUUUCAGGAACAGGACUCUCCUGAUAGUCUAUUCUCCUUUGCCAUCGACAUCUCUGAAGAUGAAGGCGAGGAGGCAAGUUCUUCCAGUGCAGUUGGAAUCAUAUUGGCAGAAAUCAGGGCAAAAUUAGAAGAGUUAUCGGCCCUCCUUCAUCAAGACACGGCCCAACUGGUUGAUGACUCCGAUUCAGCCAAGGCUUUGUUCCAGACCCUCAGAGGCCAAAUUCCUGCCGAUGCUGAAGAAACCCUUUUUCAAGCUGCACAUCUAGAGAGCCGUCAGCUGCAAUAUCAAAAGGCUACUCAGCGUCUUGCCGACAGAGCUGCCCUGGCUCACCUUUCCGAGGAGAUGAUGAAAGUGAAGCUCCUUGCCGAUGAGAAGCACAAGAACAUCAGCAUCUUAAAGUCUUCAGGGGAUGCACUGAAGCAGAAGAUCUCUGAUCUGUCGGCGAAAAGAGAAGCCCUGUUGGCAGAACUCAAGCAAGUAGAGACGCCUUGUCCCAAGCUCAACAAGAGGAAAACCAACUGCCUGAAGCGAUCAAGCGUCUUGAGCAAGAGCGAAAUGUCCAAGCCCGCAAGGCACUGCAGAUGAAGAAGAAACUGAAGCCAGUGGAAGGAUCUGCCGAUGAUGAUGUCAAAGAGAUAGAAGCAGCCAACCAAAUCCGCCUGCGUGCUACAUCGGCGAUCCAGGCGCUGUUGAAUACAUGAAUCCUUCAUUGGCAAUAUAUUUGCUCCUUUCUUUUCAACAUUCCUAAUGUUUUGAUCCAGCCGAUAGGACUGUUAUCGGCACCUUUUAAAACAUUAAGUCCGACCCCAGAUACAGUUUGAUCCAGCCGAUAGGAAUGUUAUCGGCACUUAAAUUUUUAUGCAUCGACCCAUAUGCUUGGGUAAUACUUCUUUAGAUAUUUGCCAUUUAAUGCUCUGGGAAAUUCAACUCCUUCAAGAGUUUCUAGAAUAUAAGCGUUACCCGGAGCCGAUCGACUUAUCCGAUAGGGACCCUCCCAAUUGGGAGACCACUUCCCAAAUUUUGAGCUUUUAGUCCCGAUCGGUAAGAUUAGCUUCCAUACUGUCUCCAUCGGCAAAUUCCUUAGCUUUUACCUUCUUAUCAUACCAUCUGGCAACUCUCUUCUUAUUCACUUCUAUACUCAUCAAGGCCCUUAGCCGAUGCCCUGCUAGAUCAUCCAACUCGUCUGUCAUCAAAGUAGCAUAAUCAUCUGCAGCCAAUUGAUCUUGAAAAGAUAGUCGCCUAGACCCAGUCUUAAUUUCCCAAGGUAACACUGCAUCAUGCCCAUAUACCAACUGAUAAGGUGAAACCUUAGUCGAUCCAUGACAAGCCAUCCGGUAUGACCAUAAUGCUUCAUUUAACAACGUGCGCCACCUCCUAGGAUUUUCUUCAAUCUUUCGCUUAAUGAGCUUGAUAAUUCCUUUAUUAGAUGCCUCGGCCUGCCCAUUUGCUUGAGCAUAAUAAGGAGAAGAAUUUAACACUUUAAUUCCCAUACCGUUUGCAAAUUCAUCAAACUCCGCUGAUGUGAACAUAGUACCUUGAUCGGUAGUAAUUGUUUGAGGAAUUCCAAAUCGGUAAAUAAUAUGCUCUUUCACAAAAUCGAUCAUAUUGGCCGAUGUAACUUUCUUCAAAGGAAUAGCUUCAACCCACUUGGUGAAAUAAUCAGUGGCAACCAAAAUAAACUUAUGUCCUUUGUUGGAUGGCGGAUAAAUCUGGCCGAUCAAAUCAAUAGCCCAUCCUCGGAACGGCCAAGGCUUAAUGAUAGGAUUCAUGGCCGAUGUGGGCGCUCUUUGAACAUUGCCAAAUUUCUGACAUCCUUGACACCCCUUGAAAUACUUAAAGCAAUCCUCAAGUUUAGUCGGCCAAUAAUACCCAUUUCUUCUAAUCAUCCACUUCAUUUUAAAAGCCGACUGAUGAGCUCCACACACUCCUUCAUGGAUUUCUCCCAUCAAAUUCCUAGCCUCAUCAUCACCUAAGCAUCUGAGAAGAAUCCCAUCAAUAGUUCAGUAAUAUAACUCAUCUUCAAGGGGUACAUACUUGGUAGCUUGAAACCGAACAUGUCUCUCCACUUUCUUGGAUGGAUCCUUUAAAUAAUCAAUGAUUUCUUUUCUCGAAUCAUCGGCACUGAUCGCCGAUAUUGCAUUAGUCAUGGGCUGAUAUCCCGAGGCAUGCUGAGCCAUCCGAUUGGCCUCUUCAUUAUGCAACUGAGGAAUAUGCUCUAAUUGGAAAUCCUUGAAUUCCUUUAAGUGUUGCAUACUCCUUUCGUGAUAAGUUAUCAAAACUUCGCUUCGGCAUUCAUAGCUGCCAGCCAAUUGUUUUAUAACCAGCAUAGAAUCUCCGAAGAUUUCAACAGCAUCAGCAUGAACCUCCCUUAAUAAUUCCAACCCCUUUAUCAAAGCUUGAUACUCAGCCUGAUUAUUUGUCGACGUAGCAACAAUCGGCAAGGAGAACUCAUAUUUCCUUCCCCGAGGGGAAACUAACAAUAUGCCGAUUCCUGCCCCCCGAUCACACGUGGAUCCAUCAAAGAAGAGCGUCCAAGGCACAAUUUCCAAAGUCUCCACUGUACCGCAAUGUUGAGUUACAAAAUCGGCCAUAACCUGUCCCUUAACCGCUUUAGCCGAUUUGUAAUGCAAAUCAAAUUCCGAUAGUGCCAAAAUCCUUUUACCGAUCCUACCACUCAUGAUCGGCAUAGAUCGCAUGUUUCGGACCACAUCAUCUUUGCAAAUAACAGUGCAUUCGGCCGAUUGCAAAUAAUGCCUCAACUUAAUACAGGAGAAGUACAAGCAUAAGCACAGUUUCUCAAUAGUCGAAUACCUGGUCUCAGCAUCAAUCAACCUCCUGCUUAAAUAAUAAAUUACACGUUCUUUCCCUUCAAAUUCUUGAAUUAAAGCCGAACCGAUGACCAUCUCAUCGGUAGACAAAUACAAUCCGAAGGGCUUCCCUUGCUGAGGUGUAAUCAGAACUGGAGGAUUCACCAAAUAAUUCUUGAUUUCAUCUGAAGCCAACUGUUGUUUUUUCCCCCAAAUAAAUUCUUGAUCGGCUUUCAACUUAAGCAAAGGACUGAAAGCACGAAUUUUACCAGACAAAUUAGAUAUAAAUCUCCUAAUAAAAUUUACUUUGCCGAUCAAGGACUGGAGCUCAAUCUUUUUGGUAGGAGCAACUAUUUUGCUGAUAGCAUCAAUGGAUCUCCGACUAAUUUCAAUCCCCCUCUGAUGCACCAUGAAACCAAGGAACUGUCCUGCCGAUACACCAAAUGCACACUUGUUGGGAUUCAUCUUCGAACCAUGCUUCCUUGUACAUUCCAACACCUUUCUCAAAUCGGCAAGAUGCUUCGUGAAGUCUCUAGACUUAACCACCACAUCAUCAAUAUAAAUUUCCACUAGCUUGCCGAUGAACUCAUGAAAUAUAAAAUUCAUAGCCCUCUGAUAAGUAGCACCAACAUUUUUCAAGCCAAAGGUCAUGACUAUCCAUUCAAACAACCCAACAUGACCAGGACAUCUAAAUGCAGUAUUUGGAAUAUCCUCUUCAGCCAUGAAUAUUUGAUUGUACCCUGCAUUGCCAUCCAUAAAGCUGAUAAUCCGAUGCCCAGCCGCGGCAUCAACUAGCAGAUCGGCAACUGGCAUUGGGUAUCCAUCCAUCGGCGUAGCUUUAUUGAGAUUCCUGAAAUCAAUGCAGACCCGAAGUUUCCCAUUUUUCUUGUAUACUGGAACAACAUUGGAAAUCCACUCGGCAUAUCGACACUGCUGAAUAAAUUUAGCCUCGAUAAGUUUAGUUAUUUUGGCCUUGAUGUCAGGAAGAAUAUUAGGAUUACAUCGGCGAGCUGGCUGUUGAUGUGGCUAAAAUCCAGACUUAAUGGGUAACCGAUGUUCAACAAUUGAUCUGUCCAAACCAGGCAUCUCGGUAUAAUCCCAAGCAAAGCAAUCUUUAUAUUCUUUUAACAAAUCUGUUAACUGUUGCUUACACUCAGAAUUUAACUUAGCACUAAUAAAAGUAGGUCUAGGCUUAUCACCACUACCUAUAUCUACUUCUACCAAAUCAUCGGCCGAUGUGAAUCCCUGGCCUAAUUUUCCAUCAUCGGCGAACCUAUCCAUUAAAAACCUUCAUCAGAACCGACUGCUUGGAUUGGUGGAAUUUCAUAAUCGGCAACCUUGAGAAAAUCCUUCUCCCAAACCUCUCCUGAAAUACACCUAGUUCUUUCGUAGGUGUCUGCCUCUGCCGAUGCGAUGACAUAAGAAGAAUCUCCCGGGAUAAUCUCAAUCUUGUCACCUACCCACUGGACCAAGCAUUGGUGCAUUGUAGACGGGAUGCAACAAUUGGCAUGAAUCCAAUCUCUUCCCAACAGCAAGCUAUAAGCCCCUUUUCCACUGAUCACGAAGAAGGUUGUCGGCAAGGCUUUGCUACCGAUGGUCAACUCAACGCAUAUUGCCCCCUUAACUGGAGACACGUUGCCCUCAAAGUCUUUGAGCAUCAUAUCGGUCUUGGUCAAAUCCUGAUCUCCUUUCCCAAGCUUCCGAUACACUGCAUAUGGCAUGAUAUUGAUAGCAGCCCCACCAUCAAUUAAAAUAUUGGUCAUCGGCUGACCAUCCACUCUUUCUUUGACAAACAGAGCCUUAAGAUGUUGCCUUUCAUCAUCGGCAGGCUUCUCGAAGAUGGCCGUCAUCGGAUCCAGAGCCAACUGGGCUAUUUGGUGAGAAAACUCCAACUCAUCAUCACUGGUCGACGCAAGAAAUUCCAUCGGCAACAUAAAUACCAUGUUGACAUCUGCCGAUGGACUUUUUCCAUUAGGAUCUGAUUGUUGCUGAUCCCCAAACUGGUCAUAGUUCUCGCCCUUGUUCAACUCCUCUCGUCUUUCGUGCUGUAGCCUCCUUUUCUGGGUCCUAGUCAACCCCUCUGGACACCAUGGAGGAAGUUGUUGCUGCCUUACCGAUGGGCGACAAUUUUCUCUUGACUCCAUCCGAUAAGUAUUGGCAUCCCUGCAAAAGACGAACUCAUCGGGAACUCGUGCAUUAGCCAUCUCCUCAAGCUCUUCUUGGUUCCUGGGAAAAUAUUCAACACGGUCACCAAGCCUAUCAUGCACGCUGAGCCUGCCCCCCAGCCGAUCAUGAACCGGCGCUCUCCCCCUAAUCGGCCCAUCAAAUCGCCGAUUAUCAUUGUGAUAAGGCCGGUCGGACCUGUCAUACCAAUCGUAACCAUUACAUUCCGGGCAGUCUCUGACAGUAGGAAGCUUGAUAUUUUCCUCCCAACAAUGAAUGAAGAAUGGACAAUUCCAGUGAUCUCUAUGCCGAUUCCACUCCUGUCGGCGUCUUUCUCCCUCCCGAUGGUAGUCUUCUUGCUGGCGCCGAUACCGAUCCUCACGUUGCUACCAAGUUUCCCGAGGCCUUCUGUGAGUUAUCACAAUACCAGAUCGGGGCGGCCUUCCUGAGUUAGUUCCCUCUUGGAUCAAGCCUUUUCCUUUCGCAUCGGCAGUAGUGAUCUGAUGCUGAGGAUCCACCGAUGCACUUCUUUCAGCUACUUCCGAUGUUUAAACCUUGGCCUUUCCCUUAGCAUCCAGCAUGUUUGUUGGGAAAGGAUGUUGAUCAAUCUUCAUCGGCUUCUGAGUUUUGGAGCUGUCAAAUUUGAUCCUUCCAGAUUCUAUAGCCGAUUGCAGCUGCUGUCUAAAAACUUUACACUCAUUGGUGUCGUGAGAAGUUGCAUUGUGCCACUUGCAAUAUUUCAUCCUUUUCAAUUCCUCAGCCGAUGGGAUCACAUGAUUAGGUGACAGCUUGAUCUGACCUUCCUAAAGUAGAAAGUCAAAUAUCCUAUUGGCUUUAGUGAUGUCAAAUGCGAACUUCUCUGGCUCUUUAUGCCCAAAGGGGCAAGACAUCGGCUUCUUAUUCUUCACCCAUUCUGCCAAGCCGAUGACUGGUUCUUCAUCAGAAUCCGAGCUUGCUACUUCAUCUACAAAUGAUACCUUUUUGUUCCAAGCCCUCUUAGACUCAAAAGGCUUGAUAUCUUGAUCAGAAAUCCUUUGAACUAGGUGACUCAGGCUCUCAAACUAUUGAGAUGCAUAUUUGUCCCUGAUAUGUGGCAACAGACCCUAGAAAGCCAAAUUGGCUAGCUGCCGAUCAUCCAAAACCAGACUAUAGCAUUUGUUCUUGACCUCCCGUAUUCUCUGCACAAAACUUUCAACCGAUUCAUCAUUACGUUGCUUCAAUUUGACCAAAUCGGUGAUCUUCUUCUCAUGGACUCCAGAAAAGAAGUAUUUGUGGAAUUGUUUCUCUAGAUCGGCGCAAGUAAUCACUGAGUUGGGAGGUAAUGAUAUAAACCAAGUAAAAGCCGAUCCAGACAAUGAUGACGAGAACAAGGGAACCCUUAACUUGUCCCUGUUAGCAGCUUCUCCACACCGAAUGAUGAACCUGUUGACGUGCUCCAGGGUCGAUGUAUCAUCCUGCCCAGAAAACUUAGUAAAAUCUGGCAGUUUGUACCGAUUUGGAAGCGGGAUUAAAUCAUAUGCAGGAGGAUACGAUGUCUGAUAAGAGUAAGUGUUGACUUUGGGUUUUAUCCCAAAUUGGUCUCUCAUUACUUCAGCAAUCUUAUCGGCCCAAUAAGCGUCGGCAUCUUGCCGAUGAGGCGGUUGCAGAUCUGGGAUCUGGUGAUAUGCCUCCACGUGUCUAUGUGGUGCACGGUCUGCAUGGAACAUUGGCUUAAUCAUCUAGCCACCAACCUGCUGACCACCGAUCUGUUGACCACCAAACUGCUGACCACCAAUCUGUUGUCCGCCAAUCUACUGCCCAAGAUUCAUUGGCUGGUUGGGCAACCCUUGAUUCUGGAACCCAGGGUAGAUCUGGCCUUAUUGAAACCCUGUAGCUUGAUGAUGCUGUUGGGGCAUUUGUGGAAAGACUUGCUGCUCAGGCCAUCCACUAUUAGCUUUCAUCGGCAUAGGACCUGCCGAUGACUGGUAAUUGGGCAUCAUCAUCGAAUUGACAUACCCUGGCUGAGUCAUAAACCUCUGUUGCGUCAGCAUUGAAUCUGCCGAUGCAUUAAGCAUCUGGAAGGUUGGAGCUUGAGAGUUCCCAGUGUAAGGCCUUGCAGUAGUGGUUGUAGUAUACUGGGGACUCUGAUUCAUCGGCAUAUUUAGAGGUGCCGAUGCCAUAGGAGCCUUGCCUCUCACAUCAGCCGUCUGAGAUGUACCAGGUGUCUUCAAUGUGAACUCUGGGGGCAUACCAAAACCCCACCAGUUAGGAGGAGGGACCGGCCCUGACAUUGCCGAUGCCAAUAGAUAUGUAGUAAGCUUAAUCUGCCCAUCUGAGGUCGAUGGAUUGGUUGUCAUCGGCGUAGAUUGUGCAUUAGUGACUCCUAACGUGCUUGGAGGAACGGCCGUUUCUGUGCCCACAGCGGCUGUAGCAGCCGAUGGAGCUGUAACCACUGGUGAUCCUGGCUGAUGAUGAGAAGGGCCCACAUAAUUUGGUGGCAACUGUCCUUCCUUGAAAGUUCUAGCCACGGCAUUGAAAACCGUAUUGGACAUCACACCAGCUUGAUUGAUCAAAGCACGGUUAAUAGCAUUAUCAACCAUAUCUUGAAGUAUACCAGGAUUGGCUUCAAAAGUAUCCUGCCGAGGCAUCGGCAGUGCUUCCUUCUGGAUCACUUCGCCGCUCCUGUUUAUGCUGAAGGCCUUCGCAAUAGCUUGCUUCUGCUCAUCUUUGAGGCUAGCUUCUGUCACGGGGAUGACGUUCUCCAGAUCGAACUCAGUAGUCGACAUGUUGAUCUUGAUCUUGAAUCCGUCCCACCGGGCGUGCCAAAAGAUGUGUUGACGCAAAAGCUGGAUCUGCAAACACAAAGGGCUAAUACCUGAUUUAAACGUUAAGGCGUGCCAGCCGAUUUGACCUUACUAUCGGCAAAGGUGAUAACUCGAAUACUUUGGUCCCGACAACAGCGAUGCGCCCGGAUGCCACGGCCAAGAGGUAUUCACGCGGAACUUGAGAAUACGCCGAGCUUAAGUCGACGAACCCCUAAGAACUCGUAAUGAAAAAGAAAAUAGGACGAAGUCGUCGAAAAAGUAGAUGCUGGAAUAUGAGUAAAAACUUGUGUUUGAUUGAUUGAUUGUUAGGUCGAUUACAAGGCCCUAGGGUCUACCUUUAUACCCUGCUCAAAGAGCUACAAUCAGAUACGACUAGAACUCGAAUUCCAAAUUAAACAGAAUCUGUAUACAAAACGAUUUAAAUAACUAAGGAAAACAUAAAACUAUCCUCCCGUGACAAACUGGGACACCACCACAGGCCAAUCGACAACCUUCUCUUCUGAAUCAUCGACAAACCCCUCAUCAUAGCCAUCGGCACAGGUUAAUGCUGACCAUCGGCAGAAACACAUCACCACCCAUAGACUUAAUCACAUUCAGCUGUCCCUUCAUCGGCAAUCUCCUUCAUCGGCAACUCUCCUACAGACCAGUUACUGUUGCCCAAUCUUGCCGAUCUACACUCUACCGAUCCUGGGCACGUGUCCAAAAACGGUGCCAACACCUUGCCUAAGUCAAGCUACUAGAUCAAAGCCCCUCUUAAUAGUACGGUCAAAGGAAAACAAAGUCCUAAACUACUCUAAGUGCCCUUCUUCACCAUAUGGCACUUAGACCUAGUCUAGUCUUGACGAUGUCCAUCCAUCAUUUGAAAACCGAAACGAUUUCCACUAUUAAGUAGGCAUGUACGUCCCUGUCCAUCGAGUACCUAUUACCAUGACCUUACCUAUGACUUUGCCUCUGCAAAACACACGUUAGUCAUAGUAAUCAACAUUGUCAUUAAUCACCGAAAUCACUAGGGGCCUAGAUGCUCUUUCAAUCUCCCCCUUUUUGGUGAUUGAUGACAAUAACCUCGAGUAUGAAAAGAGUUGAGGUUUUCAAAUGACUUGGUUUCAAUAAGCAUGAUACCAUUAAGAACAAGGGGAUUAGGCAUGCUUAUAUCAACCAAGUCUAACAUCCUGCAUCCAAAAAUGUGAGUGUAGCACAACAGGAUAUAAAAACAAGGCUCAUAAGUACAUCAGAGUAAAACGUGAAAGCGAAAGUAAUAUGAGCCAAACACACGAUAUAAAGAUAUCACAACUAAGCAUGAGUCAUGUCUCACAUGUAUCUCACACAAGUGCAAUGCAUAAAGAUAAACAUGAUGCAUGAUGGAGUAGCACACAAAAGAGUAUAUCAAAAUAACUAAUAAAGCUAAAGCCUCUCUCUAGCCUCUAGCUCCCCCUAACUCUCAUACACACAACUCUCUCCCCCUUUGGCAUCAAGCGCCAAAAACCUAAGAAGACGGAGGUGGAGGCGGAGCAGUGGAGUCCAUCGGCACGGCCUCAAAGCGAACUGCAUCAUCUGAACCAUUGGCCGUCGAGGCGGAGGAGUUGGAGUGACCGUCUGAAGCUGCACAUGCUGGUGAAGCGGUCUGGGUCUACUCUGGAGGCGCUGAAGCUAUCAUAGGCUGUGCGGGCUGCUCAAGUCCUGCUGACGAGGCUGGCACGGACUCGGUCGCUGCAGCUGAAGUCUCUGGCACGGUAGAAGAAGGUGCUAGCUGCUCAGACGAAGCUACAGAUGACGAUAGACGGUCUGUAGUGGUGACAGGAACCAUAAAAGCUGCAGGAGCCUACAGGGGUGGAGGCAUAGGGUCACCAGUCAGAGCAAUGUAGGAGAAGCUGAGGUGCUGGUCUGUCGACUGUUGACGGUCCUUAAGUAUCAAAUUUAAUUAUCAAAUAAAUAAAGAAAAGGAUCCAAAUGAAAUCAACAUCUAGACUUAGGGUUUUAUCUGACAGAAUUCCACGAGUUUUGGUGUUUGUCUAUUUCUGUAGGGAGUUAUCAGGAAAUACAGAAGAAAGGCCCACACGUCGGGAUUACGUAAAGAUAUUAACGUGCCGUGCAAUUAUCUUACAUCUAGAAGACUCCAGAAGCCACGAGACCGAAGCGGAGGCGAAACAGGGCCAGACCCUGGGCGCCCGCCCAGUUGGUCAGGGCGCCCGCCCACCUCCUGAGGCCAAUCAGGACUCUACUUUGCGGGAGAUUUCCACCGACCUAAAGGAUGAAUCUAAACCAUACAAUCUAUGUCGGUUUGAUCCAACGGCCCAUAUUCACAUGAAGGGACUAUAAAACCAGACCCCUGGCCCCUGGAGGAGAGAGCCUCUCAACCCUAAUUCAUUGUUCCAUCAAGGGAGAAGAAGCCUCUGAUCAAGAUUAGAGCCACCACAUCAAUUAGAUAUCUAGAUUAGCAUAGCUACAUAGGAUUAGAACUAGAAGGAGUCAAUCUUCGAUUGGUUUCCGGAUCUGUCAAGAGGAUUCUUGGUAAUUCUCUAAUUGUGCUUCUAAUUGCUUUCUAAUUAUCUUUGUUCUUCAAUAUUAUGAAUAUGACUUUGUUCUACUUCAAUAUAUUGCUUAUGACUUUGCUCUACUUGCUUAUAUUCAAGAUUAUAUUAUUCUUAGUUUCUCAUAUUUAUGUACUUGGCUUAGUUAGAUUAGAUCUAUAUACAUGCUUAGGAUCGUAUAGCGUUUAUCCAUCAGAUCCAUGGGUAAAUGAUAGAUAUUGUGUAGGUGUGGUGCUUAUACCGUAUUUAUCUACGAUUGUACCCAAUAUGCCAGAUCGUGGGGUGGUUCAUGAUAGUGACAGCUUCAUUGAUUCUUAUAUAGUCCCCCUCUCGUGUAUUGGGCUGGCAGAGCAACAUUAUUACAGGGGAGUGAUUGCAAUGUUUCUCAUAUUCCUUGCUAAUAUCACUAUGCAUGGGCGUAGUCUUGUCUCGCGAUGAUUGCUAAGUAUGCUUGCACUAACUAUGAUAAUGCUAGACUAUAUAGUUGAGAAUAACUUAGGGAAUAUUCUUGUAGUUCAUUCUAAUACCAUGCUAAUGACUUUCUAGAGUAUCUAAUUGAGGUGCUUAUCAUAUUUAUCAUGUGGCUAGAUCAGAUUAAUUAUCCUUGUCACUAUUCAUUAUUUCAUAUAUCUUUUAUAUGACACUUAUCCCUAUAUGAUGAGUUAGAUAUAAUGUUCUCAAUUAUACAUGCAAUGAUAGAUGCUCAAUCUCAUAUUCUAUUCUAUAAUCACUAUUGAUGAUUGUUAAUCCCUUCCCAGUGGUAAAAAUAUAAAUAACGAUACCUAGAAUACUUCCCGGUUAAAAUGCUGCAUCAGUAUUAAUCUGUGCGCUUGCAGAUCCCAUUCAUUAUUUAUUUAGAAGAGCAAUUGCAUAUUUCAAUACCGCGUCUCUUAUAUCAUGCUGGGGAUGACAACUUGGCUUAAGUGGUGUGAGGGAUAGGUUUGGCAUUUUUGGCACCAUUACUAGAUUUAGAGAACUUAGUCUACUUUUGGUAAUGAUGUGAAGAAUACCCAACAAGCAUUUUUGGCGCCGUUGCCGGGGAAGGUUGAUUACUAAUCAGGAAUGGAAUAAAAGAUUUUGAGUUAUCAUUCGCAUCACUAAUAUGAUUGAGCUUAUCUAUCUCUCAUACAGUUUUACUCCGAUAUUUUCCUAUUUCAUCUUAUGCAGGGGAAUGUAUGAAUAGAAGACAUCUUCCAGGAAAUUUUGUUGACAAUCUCGAAGCAUUAUUCAAGAAGACGAGAGCCAAGCUAAAGAAAUCAUCAACACUUCAGCAAGAAGCUUCAUCCAAUCAAGAAGAUCACCGGAACUAGUCUUCAGAGUUCGAAGCCAUGGCAAACAAAUCAAUCCACGAGUUCUCAGCUCCCACUACGGACAACAUCCGCACUGGACCUGCUGCAGAGAUCGAUGGCAACUUUGAGCUCAAGCCUAGACUUAUCAACAUGGUGCAAUCCAACCAGUUCUGUGGGAAGGCACACGAAGAUGCUAGUGCUCAUUUACAACACUUCCUAGAGAUUUGCAACACAUUCACCAUAUCAGGAGUUUCCAAAGAUGCUAUACUACUUCGCCUCUUCCCAUUCUCACUGUUAGGAAGAGCGAAGCAGUGGUUCUACGCUACAAAGGAGAAGAAUACUACGUGGGCACUCUGCUCAACAAACUUCCUGGCAAAGUUCUUUCCCAUGGGCAAGACCAAUGCUCUCCGUGGGAAGAUUACGAGUUUUCAGCAACAAAAUGAUGAAUCUGUUCCAGAAGCAUGGGAGCGCUUUCAAGACUACAUCCUAGAAUGUCCCCAUCAUGGAAUGGAGAGUUGGCUAUUGAUGCAGACGUUUUAUCAUGGGCUCGGCAACAGUGCCCGAGAGACCAUCUAUGCUGCAGCUGGAGGAGCAUUUUUAUCACUUACUAUACCACAAGCCACAGCUCUUGUGGAGAAGAUGGCGUCCAACCAAAGCUGGAAUGAAGAGAGGACCCAGACACGCAAGAGAGGUGGAGGUAUGCAUCAGCUGAAGGAGGUAGACAUGCUGUCUGCAAAGCUAGACCUGCUCAUGAAGAAGCUCGAUGAUAGAGCUGGAGAUAAGAAGGAAGUUAUGCACAUCUACGACUCUCACAUGACUUGUGAGGAGUGUGGAGACACUGGACACUCAGACAACCACUGCCCUGAGAUACUUGAGGAUGUGAACUACAUCAACAACAACUACUACUACUACUACAACCGCCCUCAACAAAAUCAAGGUUGGAAUCAACAGAGGCCUAACUACUCAGGUAAUUAUCAAGGUAACAAUUCUUACAACAAUAAUGCUAAUAAUUUUCCACCUUUGAGAGAGUUAGUGUCUAAUCAAGGAAAGCUAAUGGAUAACCUAUCUAAGAAAUUAGCAUCUAAUGAUAAAAUGCUAGAAAAUAUAAAUAAUAGAAUGGAUAAUUUCUCUACUGCCAUCAAGAAUCAAAUUAGCUUUAAUAAAAUGAUUGAAUCUCAGUUAAAUCAAAUAGCUGCUGCUGUUCCUACUACUAACCCCGGUAUACCAUCACAACUGGAAGGAUUAGAAUCUGCAAAUCUUGUAGACACGUUUGAUGCAGGUAAUUGGAGUAACCCCGUCAAUGAAUUCUCUACUGACCUUCUGCCGGUCAAGAGAGGCGAUCCAGGACGCCCCGUCAUCCCGAUCUCCAUCGGCAUGGUGGACGUUCCACAAGCACUCUGCGACUUUGGCUCCAGUGUCAACAUUAUACCCAGGGUACUCUAUGAAAAAUUCUUUACAUAUCCUUUAUUAGAAACAACCAUGUGUUUGCAGUUUGCAGAUCAGACGAUAACUUUUCCAAAAGGAAUAGUGAAGAACCUUUGUGUCCGAGUUGGUACCUUAUAUGCCCCAGCAGACUUCGUAGUGGUAGAGACCGGAAAUGAUGAGAGAGCACCCAUCAUCUUAGGGAGGCCAUUCUUGAACACCACGGGAGCUAUCAUCUAUGCCAGUGCUGCCAAGAUCAGUUUCUACGUCAAAGGGAAGAAGGAGACAUUUUUCUUCAAGAACAAGACUACACAAAUUUCAGAUCAAUCCAGACGUGAAUCAAGGAAAAGAACCAACAGGAGGAACAGGAACAAGCAAGUGUGGACCGAGUCAGCUAAGAUGGUCACUGUAGUUCAUGGAGGCCAAGAUCACCAACUUAAGUCACCGCUUUUGACCAAGAAGGACGACCCAGGAAUGCCAAGCAUUUACUGCUCCAUAAAUAGAUACAACUUCUACAAGACAUUUUGUGACACCGGAUCGGGUGUCAACAUAAUGGCCGCAGUCACCUAUCGGCUCUUGUUCGGGACCAUGCCACUAAGACCAACAUACAUUCAGCUCCAGAUGGCAGAUCAGACAUUUCGAGAAGUUAAAGGAAUAGUAACUGAUGUCCCAGUCAAAAUAGACGAUCACUUUGUCUACACAGACUUUCAAGUUAUUGACAUGGGAGAAGAUGAGUACGAUCCACCCAUCAUCCUUGAAAGACCGUUCCUCAGCACCGUUAAAGCAAUUAUCUACAUUGGAACCGGAGAAGUCCAUAUGCACUUCCCCUCAGAGAAGGUACGCCGUUAUUUUACCGACCCUAACUAUAUCGUUGAAGAAUCUAAGCAGGUCAGAAAGCGACACAACCGCAACCAGAGGAGGCAGAUCAUCAGGGACGGAUGGGCAGACUACGAAGGAGAAGUUGUAAGAUCAGAAGACAUUGAGUUUAAACAGAAUUAUCCAGAGGAGAUUAAAGCACCGAGUCAGGUACGGAAAAUGAAGAUAACUAUACAAGAAGAGGAGGCGCUGCCGGAAGUACCGACUACGCCACCCAACGAACCUCAGGACGAUUAAGAAAAUGGAGAGUCCCGUUCGGAGGACUUAAAAACACCGAACGCCUUGCCAAGAGGUAAACUUGGUAGUUAUCCUUUCCCUUUCAAUUAUUUCAAUUAUUUAAAAUAGUUUACUUAGUUAAUCAUGUUCGUACUAUCUUAAAAAGAAAAUAAAAUAUGAAAAAAUAGUAAGCCCCAUGUGAGUAUACAAGUGGCAUAAAACCCAUAAGUACAUUCACUGUGGUGGCAUAAAAAUAAAAUAAAUAUUUUUCUGCUUUAUAAAAUGAAAAUAUAAAAAAUAAAGAGUAAUAAUUAUUAAGGAGUCUCAAGAUGAUAAAGGCUAGAUAUUUAUGCUAACACUUAAUCAGUUCCACAAGCUUUGUUGUCUAUUUGAGCUCCACAGAAUUUAAGAGUCAAGAAGACUAGUAGACGGAGGACAUUCUAAUCGCUGUCAGAAUGCUGCUGACUUUCAAAUACACCUCUGCGACCUGCUAGCUACAUCAAGAGAAAUUACGUCAAAAUUCAGCUUGGGGGAGAGCACCCUCAUUUAUCUCGAUAAGUAUUUCUAUCUAUCUAUCUUUACACUCAUAUUAUUUUAGAAUAUAAAUAUACAUAACUAUGAAAAAACCAAAUAAAGAUUUUAUGCUUAUUUAUAUAUCUUUUGCUCAGUGUGUUUAAUAAAUAAAUAAAGUAGCUAUGCUAAUCUGUAUCUAAAUAAAACUUAAGCAUGGAUAUGAUGAAUAGUUGCUCUACCUAAUUUGCACAUUUUAAGUUCUCUCUCAAGUUUAGAUAUAACUGUUAUAAUUUAAAGCUUGCUCUAGACCUAAACUUGUGGGAUGGAAACUUGAUCUGAAGUCUAAGUUGUUAACGGAUAUGAUAUGGAAAGGUUGAGCUGCUGUUUAUCUGUUCCUAGAGAUGCUAGAAUUCUGGAGAAUUUUAUCUUUGAAAAUCUUUAAAAUAUUGCAUGAUGAGUUCCUGUAUGAUGAGAGUUUAAAUUCCUACCACAGCCAUAUAUACAUGCUUGCUAGACUUUGAGCCACACAUUUACUAUUUACUGCUUAUGAGCAUUGAGUGUGGUCAAGAUGUGUAGACCCUUAGAAACUUGUCAUGUGGUUAAAUCAAGAUUCACUUGCACGUUCACUCAUAUAUGCUACUUCUACUCCGGAAGUACCAUCAACAUAUAUCCAUCCAUUUCCAUCUCCAAAACCACCUAAAAAUAUUCUACUCCUAAUCCAGGAGAGAAUAACCAAAAAUAUUUUUGUUUUUCCCUUGUGAAAUAAAUGCUCAAGUUAUCUUGUUACUACCACUUGCUAUAUUAUCUCAUGAGAUGAGUGCUCUAAAAAAAAGAAGAGAAAUACGAGGAAAUAAAAAGGAGCAAGUGCUCGGAACCUCGAAAGAAAAGAGAGAGUGAGACGAGAGGUAAAAAUGGACAAGUGUCCGACGGUAGAAUUAGGGGUGCAAGAUACCCACCUGAGAGAAAAGAAAAAGAAGAGCAUCUCAUUCUCCUCAUAAAGUUUCAAAAAAGCAAGGAAGGUAUGUAUCCCCUCAAAGAGCAAAGUACAAUUAGACUUCCUACUCCAUUGUUUUCACCAUUGUUAUCACCAUCAUCACCAUACAUCAUUCAUUCGCCACACAUGCACAUCUUGAUUAAACUCAUUGGCUUGUUUCUUUGGAUCCAUGGUUUGACUAUGCAAUACAUGUCUUGUAAGUAUGUAUACUUUAUUUCCCACCUAUGAGCUCCAGAUAUUAAAGCCUUAUUAGAGUAGGGUGAGAGAGAAGGCAAUGUCACUAUGCCUUAUACCACAAAUACUACAUAUCUUGAGAGAAGGCAUAUACCAUCACUGCCUUGGUAAGGAUCCAGAAAUACCACAAAAGAGAGACCUGAGAGAAUCAUACAAGGAAUCUCUGAGUUUUAUUUGAAUAUCUGCAAAAAAAACCCAGAGCUAUAGCUGAUCAAGAAUAAGAGACAUGGCACUUGACUAGACUGUUCUAUCUUUUAACCACUCAAGACAGAAGUGACAGUUACAAGUCCCAUAGUGAAGGUAAAGUAAGUAAGUUUUAAGCCUUGACAGUUUACUCUAACUUAGAGAUGAGAUCUUAUUUAAAAAGCAUGUGUACCGUCAAUUUUUAAAUAUAUUGCAACAACUUAUGAUCCAUAGCUGAGUCUAUCCUUGCUCAGGGACGAGCAAGAGGUAAGCUUGGGGGAGUUUGUUGACGGUCCUUAAGUAUCAAAUUUAAUUAUCAAAUAAAUAAAGAAAAGGAUCCAAAUGAAAUCAACAUCUAGACUUAGGGUUUUAUUUGAUAGAAUUCCACGAGUUUUGGUGUUUGUCUAUUUCUGCAGGGAGUUAUCAGGAAAUACGGAAGAAAGUCCCACACGUCGGGAUUACGUAAAGAUAUUAACGUGCCGCGCAAUUAUCUUACAUCUAGAAGACUCCAGAAGCCACAAGACCGAAGCGGAGGCGAAACGGGGCCAGACCCUGGUCGCCCGCCCAGUUGGUCAGGGCGCCCUCCCACCUCCUGAGGCCAAUCAGGACUCUGCUUUGCGGGAGAUUUCCACCGACCUAAAGGAUGAAUCUAAACCAUACAAUCUAUGUCGGUUUGAUCCAACGGCCCAUAUUCACUUGAAGGGACUAUAAAACCAGACCCCCUGGCCCCUGAAGGAGAGAGCCUCUCAACCCUAAUUCAUUGUUCCAUCAAGGGAGAAGAAGCCUCUGAUCAAGAUUAGAGCCACCACAUCAAUUAGAUAUCUAGAUUAGCAUAGCUACAUAGGAUUAGAACUAGAAGGAGUCAAUCUUCGAUUGGUUUCCGGAUCUGUCAAGAGGAUUCUUGGUAAUUCUCUAAUUGUGCUUCUAAUUGCUUUCUAAUUAUCUUUGUUCUUCAAUAUUAUGAAUAUGACUUUGUUCUACUUCAAUAUAUUGCUUAUGACUUUGCUCUACUUGCUUAUAUUCAAGAUUAUAUUAUUCUUAGUUUCUCAUAUUUAUGUACUUGGCUUAGUUAGAUUAGAUCUAUAUACAUGCUUAGGAUCGUAUAGCGUUUAUCCAUCAGAUCCAUGGGUAAAUGAUAGAUAUUGUGUAGGCGUGGUGCUUAUACCGUAUUUAUCUACGAUUGUACCCAAUAUGCUAGAUCGUGGGGUGGUUCGUGAUAGUGACAGCUUCAUUGAUUCUUAUAUAGUCCCCCUCUCGUGUAUUGGGCUGGCAGAGCAACAUUAUUACAGGGGAGUGAUUGCUAUGUUUCUCAUAUUCCUUGCUAAUAUCACUAUGCAUGGGCGUAGUCUUGUCUCGCGAUGAUUGCUAAGUAUGCUUGCACUAACUAUGAUAAUGCUAGACUAUAUAGUUGAGAAUAACUUAGGGAAUAUUCUUGUAGUUCGUUCUAAUACCAUGCUAAUGACUUUCUAGAGUAUCUAAUUGAGGUGCUUAUCAUAUUUAUCAUGUGGCUAGAUCAGAUUAAUUAUCCUUGUCACUAUUCAUUAUUUCAUAUAUCUUUUGUGUGACACUUAUCCCUAUAUGAUGAGUUAGAUAUAAUGUUCUCAAUUAUACAUGCAAUGAUAGAUGCUCAAUCUCAUAUUCUAUUCUAUAAUCACUAUUGAUGAUUGUUAAUCCCUUCCCAGUGGUAAAAAUAUAAAUAACGAUACCUGGAAUACUUCUCGGUUAAAAUGCUGCAUCGGUAUUAAUCUGUGCGCUUGCAGAUCCCAUUCAUUAUUUAUUUAGAAGAGAAAUUGCAUANNNNNNNNNNNNNNNNNNNNNNNNNNNNNNNNNNNNNNNNNNNNNNNNNNNNNNNNNNNNNNNNNNNNNNNNNNNNNNNNNNNNNNNNNNNNNNNNNNNNNNNNNNNNNNNNNNNNNNNNNNNNNNNNNNNNNNNNNNNNNNNNNNNNNNNNNNNNNNNNNNNNNNNNNNNNNNNNNNNNNNNNNNNNNNNNNNNNNNNNNNNNNNNNNNNNNNNNNNNNNNNNNNNNNNNNNNNNNNUGUUUUUUCAAAGACAAGGGGUGAGAUUAGGAUCAUUACACAAGCUGUCCUUCUUGAAUGUUGGGUAUUCUUAACAUCAUUACCAAAAGUAGACUAAGUUCUCUAAAUCUAGUAACGGUGCCAAAAAUGCCAAACCUAUCCGUCACACCACUUAAGCCAAGUUGUCAUCCCCAGCAUGAUAUAAGAGACGCGGUAUUGAAAUAUGCAAUUGCUCUUCUAAAUAAAUAAUGAAUGGGAUCUGCAAGCGCACAGAUUAAUACCGAUGCAGCAUUUUAACCGGGAAGUAUUCCAGGUAUCGUUAUUUAUAUUUUUACCACUGGGAAGGGAUUAGCAAUCAUCAUUAUUGAUUACAGAAUAGAAUAUGAGAUUGAGCAUCUAUCAUUGCAUGUAUAAUUGAGAACAUUUAUCUAACUCUUCAUACAGGGAUAAGUGUCACAUAAAAGAUAUAUAAAAUAAUGAAUAGUGACAAGGAUAAUUGAUCUGAUCUAGCCACAUAAUAAAUAUGAUAAGCACCUCAAUUAGAUACUCUAGAAAGUAAUUAGGAUGGUAUUAGAACGAACUACAAGAAUAUUCCCUAAGUUAUUCUCAACUAUAUAGUCUAGCAUAUCAUAGUUAGUGCAAGUAUACUUAGCAAUCAUUGCGAGACAAGACUACGCCCAUGCAUAGUGAUAUUAGCAAGGAAUAUGAGAAACAUAGCAAUCACUCCCCUGUAAUAAUGUUGCUCUGCCAGCCCAAUACACGAGAGGGGGACUAUAUAAGAAUCAAUGAAGCUGUCACUAUCACGAACCACCCCACGAUCUGGCAUAUUGGGUACAAUCGCAGAUAAAUACGGUAUAAGCACCACGCCUACACAAUAUCUAUCAUUUACCCAUGGAUCCGAUGGAUAAACGCUAUACAAUCCUAAGCAUGUAUAUAGAUCCAAUCUAACUAAGCCAAGUACAUAACUAUGAUAAACUAAGAACAAUAUAAUCUUGAAUAUAAGCAAGUAGAGCAAAGUCAUAAGCAAUAUAUUGAAGUAGAACAAAGGCAUAUUCAUAAUAUUGAAGAACAAAGAUAAUUAGAAAGUACUUAGAAGCACAAUUAGAGAAUUACCAAGAAUCCUCUUGACAGAUCCGGAAACCAAUCGAAGAUUGACUCCUUCUAGUUCUAAUCCUAUGUAGCUAUGCUAAUCUAGAUAUCUAAUUGAUGUGGUGGCUCUAAUCUUGAUCAGAGGCUUCUUCUCCCUUGAGGAACAAUGAAUUAGGGUUGAGAGGCUCCCUCCUCCAGGGGCCAGGGGGUCUGGUUUUAUAGUCCCUUCAAGUGAAUAUGGGCCAUUGGAUCAAACCGACAUAGAUUGUAUGGUUUAGAUUCAUCCUUUAGGUCGGUGGAGAUCUCCCACAAAGCAGAGUCCUGAUUGGACUCAGGGAGAGGGCGGGCGCCCAGGGCAGGAGGGCGGGCGCCCUGCCUCUGGCCCCGUUUCGCCUCCGCUUCGGUCUCGUGGCUUCUGGAGUCUUCUAGAUGUAAGAUAAUUGCGCGGCACGUUAAUAUCUCUAUGUAAUCCCGACGUGUGGGCCUUUCUUCCGUAUUUCCAGAUAACCCCCUGCAGAAAUAGACAAACACCAAAACUCGUGGAAUUCUGUCAGAUAAAACCCUGAGUCUAGAUGUUGAUUUCAUUUGGAUCCUUUUCUUUAUUUAUUUGAUAAUUAAAUUUGAUACUUAAGGACCGUCAACAUUGACCACACUCAAAGCAUCUCUUUGGCUUUGGCUUGCUUGGUUGAUCAUGAGUGGCUAGUGACUUGAUGAGCUUUGUUUGAUGAGCCUUGUAGCCAAUCCCACUCUUAUCCAUCUUCAUGACGGUGUUCAUGAAAAGCUCACUUUGAAGGUCCUUCCCUUUUGUGAACUUUGCUAACCCCAUGGUUAGAUGUUCCUUCUCUUUCUUGAGCUUGUUAUUCUCUUGAGUUAGCUUCUUGAUGAUUGGGUCAUUGUUGCUAGCUAACUCAUCCAAGAUGAAUGUCUCAUCUUCUUCUUGGUUGUCAUACAUCAAACCAAGCUUGAGAUAUUGAUUUUCUUCCUUGAGUAACUUGUUCUCAUAUGCAAGCUUCUUGUCUUGAUCAAGUGAUUCAAUCACAAUGGUCUUGUGCUUGGCUUGAUCUUGCAACUCUUUCUUGAGCAUGACAAUUUCAUCUUUGAGCUUGAUAGUGUCCUCAUAUCUCUCGGCCACUACCACUUUCUUGCCCUCACAAUCAACACAUUUGCUUGUGCUCUCCACAAGUAAGUCAUCACAAGAUGUAGCUACAUCAAGCUUAGCAACAUGGUUAGUAGCAACAUGUGUUUCAUCAAUUGCAAGUUCAUAUGCUAUCUCAAGGUUGUCAUAGUUUGCUUUUAGAGUUGUUAGCUCUUCUUUCAUUGCUCUAUAUCUAGUGAUAAGCUCAUCAUGAACACUCUCAAGUUUAUCAUGUUUUUCUUUGAGCUCUUUUAAAGAGAGUUUGAGCUCCUUCAGCUUAGUGGUCAUGAUCUCAUUUUGGUCUCUAAGCUCAUUACUAGGCUUUAGCUUAGCUAGAAGAGUUUCAUUUUCAAGUUCAAGCUUUUCAUUUUCACUUCUUGAUUUUCUUAUGACUUUUGUGUACUUGUUUAGCAAUUUUACAAGUUCAUCAUAAGAUGGUGAUUCACAGUGGCGGAGCUCGUCAAUUUUGACGUCUAGGGCCACUAAUAAAGCACACACACCGUUUACGUUGAAUCAAGAUAUCAGUUGUACCAAGUCUAAUACCGAUAGAUAACAAAAAUAGCUUAUAAAUACAUAGUUCGAGAUAAAAAUCUUAAUUUUAAACUUAAAUCCAUAACAUGAAAGUGGAUAAAAAUCUUAAUUUCAAACGUAAAUCCACUCGCGCUCGGCCAUCUAGGGUGCGUUUGGUUGGAGAGCGUGGAAGAGGGAUGGAAUAACUAUUAUUGAGUUUGGCUGGAAUGAUAGAAUUAUGUCUUUGCUAAUAACUGCAAAGAAGGACGUGUUUAGCUAGAAAACAACAACAAAGCCAACCACGAUGCCCUGGAGUACACUAUGAGCUAGGAUUGAAAACGUGAGGGAACCAGGAAGGAGUAACACACUACAAAGCGGGCACAAGCAAGAGAUGAGAGAGGAUGAUCGAGGCAGUCUAUGGUGAUGAAUAUAAUCCAAAAAAUUAAAAACGAGUAUUAAGAAAUUUUGGUCCACAAGUAGGGCCAAGGCCCUAGUGGCCCUAGGUGGAGAUCCGCCCCUGGCUUGGGGCUUCUAUAAAUAGGCCUUGGCCGGUUCAUGCUGACUCUCUUGACUCUCUAACUUGUUGAUACAUCUUGUGAGCAUACUCCCACACAUACCACUCAUCGUGUUCAAGAUUUGAUCAUCCAAAGUGAGAUUGGAAGAGAUCCUAGUUGCAUUUGCUUAGAGUUUGAGCAUCUAGUGGCACUAGUGAUCGUUGAGCAGCGGGUUUGCUUGUUACUCUUGGUGGUUGCUGCCACCUAGAUGGCUUGGAGCUACGGAGGAGCUUUUGGCAUGAGUUGAUGUUUGUUUGUGGCCAUCUCCCGGUGAUUGUGAGGGGUCUUGUACCUUCCCCGACGGAGAGCCAACAGGUAACUCUAGUGGAUUGCUCGUGUCAUUGAGUUACCUCACUUGUGGGUCGGUUCUUGCGGUGUCCUAGUGAGGAUGAGGUUCGUGCUACACCUCUUAGCCGUCGAACCACCAAGUGUUGGUCGACACAACAGGGACGCAGCAUGCCGGCAAGCACGUGAACCUCAGGAGAAAAUUGUUUGUUUCCAUUGUGAUUGUUCAUUGGAUUUCUCCCGGUGAUUGGACGUCAUAUUAUUGAUUGGUUCAUCCCCUCUUCGCGGUGGUAUAAAGAUCAAACCUUCUCUUUUACAUACCCACGAACUAGAGUAGCUUACUUACUUGUAUAGAAACUUGUAGAUAGCUCUCUAGNNNNNNNNNNNNNNNNNNNNNNNNNNNNNNNNNNNNNNNNNNNNNNNNNNNNNNNNNNNNNNNNNNNNNNNNNNNNNNNNNNNNNNNNNNNNNNNNNNNNCGAACGGGGCCAGAGGCAGGGCGCCCGCCCUCCUACCCUGGGCGCCCGCCCUGACCUGGAGUCCAAUCAGGACUCUGUUUCUCGGGAGAUCUCCACUGACCUAAAGGAUCAAGGAUAACCGUUCAAUCUAUGUCGGUUUGAUCUGACGGCCCAGGUUCACUUGAGGGGACUAUAAAACCAGACCCCCUGGCCCCUGGAGGAGGCACCCCUUGAUCAUUAUUCAUUAUUCAUAGACAGAGCAAAAGCUAGGGUUUAGAGAUGAGAGCUCUCCUCUCUUCUCUAAACUAGAGUAGAUCUAGAUAGUAGCGAGAUGGAGAGCGAAGGAGGAUUAGAGGAGAGGCUGGCCUGUCGGUUCUUCCUCCGGUUGUACUUCGUCAUGAUCAAGCUCUAAUCAAGCUUGCUCAUGGGAUGACACUAGUAAUCUACUUCUAAUUCAUUAUGCAAUUACUAAUCAUGUAUGUUCUGGUUCACAACCCUUUUGAGUACUUCUAAUCUAUAGGACGCUAUAGGUUAGAGUUGUAGUAUAGGUGUAAGCGUGGUGCUUAGACCCAGAUUACUUGUGGAUAUCCCCUGUCUAGCUGGAUCGUGUGGUAGGCCGCGUAGGUGACUGUUACGUUGGUCCUCUGUAGUCCACCUCUCGUUAGUAGGACGGGUAGGGUUUAUCGACCUAUGGAUAAGCAUCCUUUGUGGUGUAAUCUUAUCACGUGGUUCGUCCUAGACAUAGACAUACCCCUUUGAAGUAGAGAAACCAUAGUUAUCCUCUCUAUUCUGCUACCAUCGCCCAUAUACUAGAUUGCUCUAUUCUCUAUUCCCAUAUUAUCACUCACAGUUAUCUUACCUUUAAUAUUGUUCUUAUUCGAUUCUACCAUCUUUCCUAUUUACACCUAUUUACUUAUCUUGGUUAAGUUAGAGCAUAGAUCAGUUCUCUCGUUUCCCUGUGGAUACGAUAAAACCUUUAACCGGGUAAAAGCUUCAACAGUAUCCGUGUGCUUGCGGAUUAUCUGUGUGCGUAUAAAUACCAUAGUACACUCUAGUGCCAUGCUAGGGAUGACAACCUAGUAUUCAAGUGGUGUUAGCAAGUGUCAACAAGCAUUUUUGGCGCCGUUGCUGGGGAAACGGUUGCUGAGUUGACUACGAACUAGCUUAAUCAUUUUCUAAAAAAAAAUAAAAAAAAUUUCCUUUUUAUCCUUUGCCUCAUCUCUGCUAUUCUUUCUUCUUAUCUAAUCCUUGAUCUCUAGUAUAUCAUGAAUUCAAACAUGUCUAUCUUUGAAUUUCAUAGACCUACAGGCACACAUCUUGAACCACCAAAAUCUUCAAAGCCUAUCAUAGCAUCUAGUUUUGAGAUAGACCCCGAAUACAUAGAAUUUGUUCAAAAACAACCUUUCUCAGGAGAAGGUGAGGAAAACCCAUACACACACCUAAGAGUGUUUUAUAGAGUCUGUGACCUCCUUCGCAUAGAAGGCAUGUCCGAUGAGACCCUUAAAUGGAAGCUCUUUACGUUCUCUUUAAUGGGAAAAGCUAGACAUUGGUAUAAACUCAAAGUAGGGAGUGUUCAUGGAGAUUGGAAGGAGUUACAUAGUAGUUUUCUUUCUAAAUAUUUUCCAAUCUCCAAAGUGGCGGAACUUCGGCGUGAGAUUAUUUCUUUUAGACAACUGAAGAAGAAUCUCUUAGGAAAUCAUGGGACCGCUUCAUUAACCUUACUCUCACUGGCCCAAAGAUUUCUAUUCCUGAAGAAGUUCUUCUAAUCCACUUUUUUGAGGGCCUUAGUGGGGAAAAUAAGCAAACCUUGAAUACAGCCUCUAGAGGAUCCUUCUAUCACCUACCUGCUAGUGAAGCUUGGAAUUUGAUUGAUUUAUUAAGUGGAAAGUCUCCUGGCUUUUAUAUCCCUGAGAAAGAGACAGAACCAGUUCCUAGACAAGAAGAAGAAGUUUCGAUAGCCAGAUCACAACCACUUCAAUCCCAAACUUUAGCUAUCGAUCCUUAACCAUCAAUACCCCAAAAUUCUCCAAGGGAGGAAGGAAUUCCGACCUUAAAUCUUUCAGAUACUGAUGGUUUAGACUUCUGGUUCCAUAAGAGACCUUCAAGCAGGGAUAAUUCAAAUCCUCACAAUAAUGUUUCUCUUAGAGAAUGUCCUGGUUCCUAUUAUGAAGAAGUCGAGGAUGACAUAUCAAGUGAAGGAUAGCUAAGCCAUAUAGAAAAUUCUAUCUGAUCCCCUUCCUUGUUCACAAGUUCUAAAUCCAUCCUUAACCUUAGAGAUCCCUCUUAUCCCUCUUCUUUUCAGUCUCAUGAUCCUAGCAAUUCACCAAGACGAUCAAACCAUAGGAUUCAUAAAGACCAUGAGGAUGACAUGUCAAGUAAUGUCAUAGAAGGAGAGCUAAGCCAUAUAGAAAAUUCUAACACCUCCCCUUUCCUGAUCACAAGUUCUAAAUGGCUAGAAUGUGUAGAAUGGAUGGAUAAGGAAGAAGCCUUAAUGGAUUCAGACUUUGGCUCAAUUUCAAAUGGUGAGUUCUUGACUCCCUUUGAAGAUGGGAUACAUUCAACUAUAGAAGAGGACAUAAGUGAGACCAAUCUAAGAGAAACUCUGAACAUUCAGAUUGGAGACGAAGAUAACAUUAAUGAGCAUGGAAUUUAUUUCAUAGCCACUUUGUUUACUCCAUGCUCAUAUGCAACAUCUUCCCAAUCUAUUGGUCUCUCCAACAUCACCACAUUUGAGAUCUCCAACCCCCUUUUCCUUUCUAUUUAUAAAAACUUUAAAAGGGCGGUUGUCGAUGCAUAUGUCUAUAAUAAAUAUUGCAGAUCUCGUUGAGUUGAUCUUGAUAUAGGUCAGUGUUGGAAGGGAAACCACUUCGCCGACAUAAAUUGAUGGUUUCCCAAGGACAAGCUUAGUGUCCUAAAAAGCACUGAUCAGAUCAUAACAUGAGUUUGUAAUUAUUUGCAACAUUACCUUGUGUAUUGAGCAUAUAAGGAUAAUUGUAAAAAUAUUCCUUUGGGUAUUCUUGUCACUAACCUUUCUAGGAUUGGAACAAGAAGAUCAGAUGAAUGACAAGCAAGUACAAGGUAUGUCCAACCAAUCAUCAUGCAACACUGAAUUAAAUUCAUCCAAACUUGAAUUCUGCAAAAUUCAAGCUUGGGGAGUACUUUACAUAAAAACAUCCUUUGCCAUGUUGCUAUGUUGGUUGUCCCUACCUUUAAGAUAUGCUCAAUUUGUUAAAUACUAAUCACACUACUUCAUCUCCACUUGAGUAGAUCUCUAUAAAUGUUGUCAGGUUACCUUUGUCUAUUUACUAGUAAGUGUUAGUUUGGAAGUACUGCACAUACUUCUAUUGGCUUUUAAACUAAGCAUGGUGCUUAGGUUAAACAACCUUCCUUAAUCUGAUUAGACAUGGAGUCUAGUUCGGUUAUUGAACUAAAAACUGCUUGUGUAGACAUUGGUAUAUUUUUGUCAGACUAACCCCUGCAGAAAAACUUUCAAUAUCGAUUUGGGAAGUCCUGAGAUAAACUCACAUCAGAGACGAAGAGAGUGUCAUAUGAAGUUUAACAAUUUGCACAAAAAGGACAUAGCUCAUUCAUCAUAGAGAGAUGAUCCAUGGAGGGUGCCACAAACACGAUGCACAACCGCUAAGAAAGGAAAGCUUCCACAAGGUGAUACUGUACCAUCACUCUUCAAGCAAGGUAACAUCUUAAGGUACUUGACUAUCACUUUUAUAAGCUUCUCCUUGGUUCUGGCAUUCAUAUAAAUAAAAGAGACAAACAUGUAUGAUUUACAACUCUAGAUUAACCAACCCAACUGAUUCAACAUGUUUAGUCCUUUAAUCCUUGUUCUUAGUACUACCUCCAUGAUCCCACACUCCUAAUCAUAUGAGCUAAAAUGUUACACAUUCAAUCAUUGAGAGAUAUAAAGAAAAAGACAUACACAUAGAUAGAUUAUCUUUCCAUAAGGUUGAGCGAUCUGAUCUGACAAAUGUUAUAAGUGCUACACUCAUGAACUUUUCAUCCAUCAACUUUGUCUUGCUCACUAUGCUUAGGGUUAGAGAAGAACAAAUACACUUUAGGUUCUGUUGGUGUUUUCUACCAACAGGACCCAUGCACUUGAUCUCUGCCUUGUCUCUAUGAGCAGGUACACUUCGAGAAAAACACGGAGGAGUUUUAUAACUCUCAGACUCUACCAAGUGAAGGACCUGGAUCUACGAGCACAAACACACUGAGCAGGAUACUGCCAACGCUGCACUUCGAACUGCUGGGCAAACGAAGACGUGCGCACCUGAAUCAAAUGACGCACCUGAAGAAUGAACACAGUUAGAAGUCUUGUUAAGAAGACUUAAAACAUUGAACCAUCGCCGAAAGGUAAGAUCGGUAGUUAUCCAUAUUUACCCUUUCUGCAUUCCCUUUUCCCUUUAAUUAUUUAUUUUCCUUAAAUAGAUUAUUAGUUAAUCAUGCUAUCUUGAAAACAAAAUAAAAAUGUUAAAAAAUACUAAGCCCUAUGUGAGUAUACGAGUGGCAUAAAACCCAUAAGUACCUUCACUGUGGUGGCAUAAAAAUAAAAUAAAUAUUUCUUUUCUGCUUUAUAAAAUAAAAAUAUAAAAACAGGGAGUAAUAUUUAUAGAGGAAGCUCAACAUAGGCUAGAUAUUUAUGCUAACACUUAAUUAGUUCCACAAGCUUUGUUGUCUAUUUGAGCUCCACAGAAUUUAAGAAUCAAGAAGACUCGCAGACGGAGGACAUUCUAAUCGCUGUCAGAAUGCUGCUGACUUUCAAAUACACCUCUGCCACCUGCUAGCUACAUCAAGAGAAAUUACGUCAAAAUUCAGCUUGGGGGAGAGCACCCCCAUUUAUCUCGCUAAGUAUUUCUACCUAUCUUUAUACUUAUAUUAUGUUAGAAUAUUAAAAUACAUAAACUAUGAAAAACCAAAUAAAGAUUUUGUGCUUAUAUAUAUAUCUUUUGCUUAGUGUGUUUAAUAAAUAAAUAAAAUGGCUAUGCUAAUCUGAAUCUUAAUAAUAAAACUCUAGCAUGGAUAUGAUGAAUAGUUGCUGUGCCUAAUUUGCAAAUUUGAAGUUCUCUCUCAAGUUUAGACAUAACUGUUAUAAUUUAAAGCUUGCUCUAGAUCUAAACUUGUGGGAUGAAAACUUGAUCUGAAAUCUAAGUUGUUAACGGAUAUGAUAUGGGAAGGUUGAGCUGCUGUUUAUCUGUUCCUAGAAAUGCUAGAAUUCUAGAGAAUUUUAUCUUUGAAAAAUCUUUAAUAUAUUGCAUGAUGAGUUCCUGUAUGAUGAGAGUUUAAAUUCCUACCACAGCCAUAUAUACAUGCUUGCUAGACUUUGAGCCACACAUUUACUAUUUACUGCUUAUGACCAUUGAGUAUGGUCAAGCUGUGUAGACCCUUAGGAGCUUGUCAUGUGGUUAAAUCAAGAUUCACUUGCACGUUCACUCAUAUAUGCUACUUCUACUCCGGAAGUACCAUCCACAUAUAUCCAUCCAUGUCCAUCUCCAGAACCACCCAAAAAUAUUCUACUCCUAAUCCGGGAGAGAAUAGCCAAAAAUAUUUCUAUUUUCCCUUGUGAAAUAAAUGCUCAAGUUAUCUUGCUACUACCACUUGCUAUAUUAUCUCAAGAGAUGAGUGCUCUGAAAAAAAAGAAAAGAAAAAAAAAUAUAAACGAGGAAAUAAAAAGGGGCAAGUGCCCGGAGCCUCGAAAGAAAGAAAAAGUGAGACGAGAGGUAAAAAUGGACAAGUGUCCGACAGUAGAAUUAGGGGUACAAGAUACCCACCUGAGAGGAAAGAAAAAGAAGAGCAUCUCAUUCUCCUCAUAAAGUUUCAAAAAGCAAGGAAGGUAUGUAUCCCCUCAAAAGAGCAAAAGUAGAAUUAGACUUUCACCAUUGUUAUCACCAUCAUCACCAUACACCAUAUCAAAUUUAAUUAUCAAAUAAACAAAGAAAAGGAUCCAAAUGAAAUCAACAUCUAGACUUAGGGUUUUAUCUGACAGAAUUCCACGAGUUUUGGUGUUCGUCUAUUUCUGUAGGGGGUUAUCAGGAAAUACGGAAGAAAGGCCCACACGUCGGGAUUACAUAGAGAUAUUAACGUGCCGCGCAAUUAUCUUACAUCUAGAAGACUCCAGAAGCCACGGGAAGGAAGCGGAGGCCGAACGGGGCCAGAGGCAGGGCGCCCGCCCUCCUGCCCUGGGCGCCCGCCCUGACCUGGAGUCCAAUCAGGACUCUGUUUCUCGGGAGAUCUCCACCGACCUAAAGGAUCAAGGAUAACCGUUAAAUCUAUGUCAGUUUGAUCUGACGACCCAGGUUCACUUGAGGGGACUACAAAACCAGACCCCCUGGCCCCUAGAGGAGGCACCCCUUGAUCAUUAUUCAUUAUUCAUAGACAGAGCAAAAGCUAGGGUUUGGAGACGAGAGCUCUCCUCUCUUCUCUAAACUAGAGUAGAUCUAGAUAGUAGCGAGAUGGAGAGCGAAGGAGGAUUAGAGGAGAGGCCGGCCUGUCGGUUCUCCCUUUGGUUGUACUUCGUCAUGAUCAAGCUCUAAUCAAGCUUGCUCAUGGGAUGACUCUGGUAAUCUACUUCUAAUUCAUUAUGCAAUUACUAAUCAUGUAUGUUCUGGUUCACAACUCUUUUGAGUACUUCUAAUCUAUAGGAGGCUAUAGGUUAGAGUUGUAGUAUAGGUGUAAGCGUGGUGCUUAGACCUAGAUUACUUGUGGAUAUCCCCUGUCUAGCUGGAUCGUGUGGUAGGCCGCGUAGGUGACUGUUACGUUGGUCCUCUGUAGUCCACCUCAAGUAGGGUUUAUCGGCCUAUGGAUAAGCAUCCUUUGUGGUGUAAUCUUAUCACGUGGUUCGUCCCAGACAUAGACAUACCCCUUUGAAGUAGAGAAACCAUAGUUAUCCUCUCUAUUCUGCUACCAUCGCCCAUAUACUAGAUUGCUCUAUUCUCUAUUCCCAUAUUAUCACUCACUGUUAUCUUACCUUUAAUAUUGUUCUUAUUUGAUUCUACCAUCUUUCCUAUUUACACCUAUUUACUUAUCUUGGUUAAGUUAGAGCGUAGAUCAGUUCUCCCGUUUCCCUGUGGAUACGAUAAAACCUUUAACCGGGUAAAAGCUUCAACGGUAUCCGUGCGCUUGCGGAUUAUCUGUGUGUGUCUAAAUACCAUAGUACACUCUAGUGUCAUGCUUGGGAUGACAACCUAGUAUUCAAGUGGUGUUAGCAAGUGUCAACACUUAGCAACUAGAAUUGUUGAGUAGGUGGCUUGCAAACACCCCUUUAGAGCUAGAGCAAAAAGCUUUGCUUUGUUAUUUACUAACCUUUUAAAUUGGCUAUUCACCCCCCUCUAGCCAUAUUAGGACCUUUCAAUAGGCAAUAAGUUUGUCUCUGUUAUUUCAUGCCUAUGACAUUAGAUAUUUUAUUUUUUAAGAUUUCCAAUGAAUUGAUGUCCCUAAGGUUGGUCUCGUCUAAAGCUUUCUCUAAACUUGGGUGAGUUAUGUUUACUAAAGAAACUGAUUUAAGCUCAACAUUUGAAUUUAGACCAAGUUUAGAUGCUAGUGCUAAAACUUCAUCUUCUUCCAUCCAUUCUUUGACAAUACCAUAUGUAUUUCUAAUAUGUUCUACGUGUUCCUGCUAUUGUCGUUGCUCUUUUUGGGUAUUCCUAUAAUUUUCAUGACUCAUAUUCUUAGAAUGUCUUGAUGGAUUCCUAGAGUUAUUAUGAAGUUUAGUAGAUGGAGCAUAAAAAGAUUUAUUGCGGUAAAGGAUGGGUUUAGAGAUAGGUUCAAAGAAAUUUAAUAUGGGCAUAGAAGGGGAGUAGAUAGAAUUUGUUUCUAAGUGGCUUGGCUCUCAUUCUAUGGCAUCACUUGUCAUGCCAUCCUUGAAUUUGUUCUAAUGUCUUUUUAGGAAGGAAAGGAAGUUAAUGAUGCUUUUUUCUAAGAUCUCUCUUAUUAUAAGAUCUGACAUGCAUUGAUUUAGGAACAUCUUAGCUAAUUGGAAGUCUAAAUCAUUGAUUUGGAACUUUAAAGGUUUAGGAUUGAUAGCUAAAUAUUAAGAAUGAUGUGAUUGUAUUUUAGUUAUCAAGACUUUUGUUUUUAGUUUAGAUAAUAAAUCAUUUUGUUCUUUUGGGGAGUUCAGAAAUAGCCAGAGCAACUCUUUUGAGCAAAAACUCUUUCUUUAAAAGAUAAGAAAGGCUUCCCGAGAAGAUAAAUCAAGGGAUUCCUUGUAACUCUUGGUAAGAUCCGAAUGUCGAAUAAACAUGGGGCCUACCAAACCAAGGUUAGGAUUAAUGAUCCCAUGAUAUAUUUGAGAAGGGCUUAUUAUAUUAUGUAGACAAUGGCAUAGCUUAUAGAUGAUAAGGUUUAUGCUUUAAGCUUUUGCACAUGCCAUAAAGAAAAUAGCAAUAGAAUUAAAAGCAUUCAUAAGGAUUAACAUAGAAAUAAUGAAGAGAAUAGGACAAAACAUGAAAACACAAAAGUAUAAUACAAGAUUAAGCUAAACUAAGUCAAAAUCUGCAAACCGUUCCUCGGCAAUGGCGCCAAAAAUGCUUGUUGGAAGUAGGCUAUUCAACAACGAAGAUGCCUGGGACUUCCUCUAGCAUCUUAGAGUAGCCCAAAACCUUAACUUCGAGGAGUGCAAGAGGUCCCAUCACUUCCUGGAGCAACAUAACGCUCUGGCGGUGGUGUUGGAGAACACUGAGGGGUCCUUGGCCUGAACCAAGGAAUAUUUAGGAGAGUCCAACAAUGCAGUCAUUAGUAAGUAUAUCUCCUCUGCAUUCUUUUAGUUGAUUGACUUUUUUGCUGAUACAUCUGUUUAUUUUGUUGAUCAUAGGACUCCAAGAGUAGUUCAACACACUCACCCCCGCCAUCAACGCAGUCACUAGAAUGGUGAAUGCACACAAGGAGACCCAGGAAAAGCAGCUUCAGGAUGUCCACAACCACAUCAGGAGGUCGCUCUCUAUGGCGUUUGCUCAGGAGCAGCGAAUGCACUGGCAGCAGCCUAGCUUCGCUAUGGGGCCUAGCUCUCGAAGUAUCUGACUUCAAACUUCGGCAAGGAGGGCAACGACGAAGGCUUUGAGGAGCUGAUGGAGGAGUUUGCCACUUGCACCGAUGUACUGGCGCAGGUCUAAUCAGCCGAACACAUCAUCACCCGUGUCUUUGACGAUGAAGAUUAGUUCAAGGUUAUUUUUUAAUUUUAGUUGAUGUAAACUCUCCCCAUGAACAAUAACACUACUCAUGGAAGCAGUUUUAUCUUAUUUUGUAUUCAUCGAUCAAGUGUCUAUUAUCUCUGUGAUAUUGUCCAUCCAAGCAAUCCAAUAUGUUUCUGAAACAACAAAAAGUCCAUUUCCAUUCUUGAUUUUUGCUCUUAAGGUGAUACUUAUCGUAUUGGCUUUAUUCAGUUACAACUCUAAAUUUUAUACUAAAGGCAAUAUUUGUUGUAUCGGCUAUUUCAACUGUCAAAAUCUCUAAAUUCUAAUACUGAAGGUGAAACCUACCGUAUUUGCUAUCUCUAGUCAGCUAGUACACUAAAUUUCAUGCUAAAGGUGAUACUUUACAUAUCGGCUAUCCAAAAUUCCUCCUAACUGUCUUGAUCAAUCAGAGUAGAUCAACCCAAACAUUAGGGUAAUACUUCUUGAAAUGCUUCCCAUUGACAGCUCUGGAAUAUUCUUCUCUAUCACACCCAUAUUUCAAGAACAAAAUAGGAUGCGUAAAAGACUCAUGUGCGCCCCAGAAACAGUUGCACACAUAAGUAGAGAAAUCUCAAGAGUAUCAAUGCAGUGUUUAUUACAUAGAAGAACAAUAAUAAUCACAUAGUCUUAUACAAUAAUGAUAAAUAACAACAAAUAAACUCUCUUGACGGAAGCAUCACACAGGGACAAACGUUGACUGGUUGACUUCGAAUAUAAUACUCAUAUCGAUAGUCCUCAUUCUAAUCAUCAUCAUUUGUAUAACCUGAGGUGUUGGGAAAUUUUAAGAGUGAGCACAUAUCGUACUCAACAAGUAUAACCAGGGGUUCAUGAGGCUCAAAUAGCUGACACUGGUUUAACUACAUUUAGCUUUUAUAUAUAGAUAGCAUGUUCAUAAUUAAAUAGCAAGUGUCAAGGUAGCAUAAAUAAUCCCAUAAUCACAUGAUCAAAUGUAAGCAUAAUUAAAUCAUAGCAUAAAGAUAAACAAAUCAACAUAAUAACAUAACAAGCUCAUCAUCUUAAUGUAGAUGCCCCCAAGGCCGCUCCUGACCGUGAGCUCGGCUAGUAUACUAGUUUUAACACUCUGCAGAGGUUGUACAUCUUUACCCAUGUGUCAUGAUUUACCCUUACGCUUGAGGUAGCUAAUCUCUUAACCCCCUUCCCAGGGAGGUCGGCAGGGAUCACUAUGAAGCCUUUCAAAAGUUUGUCUAACAUGUUAGGGCCGCAAGGUUUCCCGGGCGAGCAGAUAUAGAGCCCCCAUUCUAAAUGGCAUAAUGACAUGCAUCCUAUACACAUAAGGACAGAGGCUCGCACUAUACCCUUGUCAGCAAGCACCUCUAGCGCCCUUAUGGGUAACCUCUAACAAGCUAGAAAAGGUCCUCAUACUAAGCUAAAGCUGGAGCCAUUAUAGCCCGCAUGGUUGCACUGUUAUCCCGGGUGAUCACGUUCAGAUAAGAUCCCAUACAGUUAUUGCCAUCUUUUUAUGUUUAUUGCAUGCUAUUAAUCAUCUUACAAGAUCAUGGAUUACAUUAAGCACUAGCAAAACCGCACCAAAUGCAUAUCAAAUAGGUAACAAGGAAGUCAAGGUAACAAUCAUCUAUGAUUUUGCGAAGGUCGACAAGGUGGACAAAUGCAUAUGAUAUAUAUUGUAUUAAUUGUGUGUAGGUAACAAGGAUAGUCCCAAGUUAUACUUGUCUUGAUCAAAUCUCUCCUGAGGCGGCUGCUGGUCAUCAAAGGCUUGGUCUUGCUCACCAACGUACGGCUCACCGUCUAUUCCGAAUCAUCAAUCAACAACACGCAUUCUAAUAGAGACAAUCCUACACAAAGCAAACAAGCUAUAAUUAGAACAUUACACCAACAUUGAUAAAACAAAUAUAAAAGUUUAUAAAAAUAUUCUACGCUGCGCUACGAUCACACAAACGUAAAGUUAAGACAAUCGGAAUUAAAACGUAGAAGUUAUAAAUUUUCUAAUAUUUCCUAUAUAAGAAUAAAUAAUUAAAUGCUACUGCAAAAUUAAAAAGUUUCAAACCAGUGAAACAGUACCACUAACACGUAGAGCUCGCAAUAACGAAUCUAACGGAAUAUGAUUGAACCAAAACAGAGUUAAAAUGAUUAUUUUAUGAGCAAAUUAAAUUCAAUGGCAAACUAGUAAAUAUCUAAAAACGUAUUUGAACACAACCGACGAGGAAUACGCUUUCGGAGUUGAAAAGCGUAAUUUUCCCAGAGCGCCAUGGACAGCGGGUUAGCACUCAGAUUUUACAGGGUUGCUUUAGCAAUUUUUCCCCCGAAGAGGUAUCCUUCAUUGCUGGUCGUCGGAUCACGAUUGAAUGGCUCGGAUUAGACCUGGGGAAAGAGAGAGAGAGAGAUGCCCCGGCCAGAACAGUGUGUUUGGCACGGCGGCUCCAUGGUUGGCAUGAAGAGACCUCGCCGGAGUUAGCCGUUUUGACGAUUGAGACCAUGAUUCGACAAAAUAAAAACACGAAAGCAAAGAGAAACUCCCCGAGAGCUCACCUAGGGUAGAAUCGAGAGUAGGAAGGACUUGGGCAAGGCUGACGUCGGAAAAUGGCGGCCGGAACUCCUCCUGCAAGUUCGGCAGCCGCACAAGAGCAAAAGGGUGCGGUAGAGAACGAAAGGGGAUGCUCAGAAACUCCGUUACCCCUACCUGGAGCUCAGCACGAUUGUUGGGUAUUUUAAACGCAAACAGAAAAAUCCGCAAGCGCACGGAUACCGAUGUAGCUUUCACCCGGGAGUAUUCCAAAGUAUCGAUUUUCCACAGAGAACGUGAGUGUACUAAUUAAGAUCCAAGAUCGCCCAAGGAUAACUAUAUAAUUAUUUUUGGUGGAAAGAGAGGAAGUUUCCUGAGAGUUCUCUAGUUGAUCUAAGAAUCAAGGAUUACUUCAAGAUUAUCUAUAUCGGGACAUCAGAGCACUAACCACAGAAAGAGAUGAGAAGGGGGCUAGGAAGGUCUGACUACGGUCCUACAAACACCGAUCCGAACGUGGUGGAAUACGUCGACCGUUAGGGCUGUCACUACCCUAAGGCUACCACAACAAUCCGCAGGAUUGGGUGCAAUUCCAGGUAAUCGCAAGACUAAACACCACGUCUAAUCUAUUAAUUACUACUCUAGCGUUAUAAAGACUAGAGCACUUGAUGCAAGCGGGAAUCCAAUAAAUAACUUGAAUGUAAAUAAAAAUAAUUAGAGAACUCAGGAGUUAUGAAUUGAAGAACCUGGAGAACGAUGAAGAACGAACCAGUUGCUGCAAAAGUACAAUGUUGAGGAAGAUCCGACAGAUCCGGCUCUUCCUCCGCUCUCCUCUUCUCUCUCCCUAUUUUCUAGAUUACAACUAGAACUAACUAGAACUAGAACUAGAGGAACUAGAACUAGAACUAGAUGAACUAGAACUAGAACUAGAUGAACUAGAGGUAGAACUAGAAGAACUACAAGGAUCCUCUCUACUUAGAUGAAGAAUUGAAACCCUAGCUUUGAUUCUGUAGAAGAGGUAUGAUAUCCAGGGGCCAGGGGGGUCUGGUUUUAUAGUCCCUUCAAGUGAAUCUGGGCCAUUGGAUCAAACCGACAUUGAUCGUGUGGUUUUCCUUGAUCCUUUAAGUCGGUGGAGCAAUAUCCCGAAAGAGAGUCCUCAUUGGACUCUGGCUGAGGGCGGGCGCCCAGGAAAGGUGGGCGGGCGCCCUGUCCCUGAGUCCUCUCGGCCUCCGCUUCCUUCCCGUGGCUUCUGGAGUCUUCUAGAUGGUAGAAAAUUGCGCAGCACGUUAAUAUCUCUAUGUAAACCCGACGUGUGGGCCUUUCUUCCGUAUUUCCUGAUAACCCCCUGCAGAAAUAGACAAACACCAAAUCUCGUGGAAUUUUGUCAUAUAAAACCCUAAGUCUAGGUGUUGGUUGCAUAUAGAUCCUUUUCCAUGAUUAGUUGAUGGUUAAAUGUGAGCAUUAAGGACCGUCAACAAGCUCCCCCAAGCUUAACCUUUGCUCGUCCCUGAGCAAAGAUGAACUCAAGAGUUUCUGCAGUGGUUUCAUAACUCAAAGAUACACAUGCGUUUAAACAAGAUCUCAUCUCUGGUUAGAGUAAGCUGUUAAGACUUAAAACAUACUCAUUUACCUUUCACCAUGGGACUUGUAACCGUCACUUCUGUCUUGAGUAGUUAAAAGAUAGAACGGUCUAGUCAAGCACCAUGUCUCUUAUUCUUGAUCAACUAUAGCUCUGGAGUUUUUUGCAGAUUUUCAAAUAAAACUCAGAGAUUCCUUGUAUGACUCUCUCUAGUCUCUCUUUUGUGGUAUUUCUGGAUCCUUACCAAGGCAUUAAUGGUGUAUGCCUUCUCUCAAAGUAUGUGGUAUUUGUGGUAUAAGGCAUAGUGGCAUUGCCUUCUCUCUCACCCUACUCUAAUAAGGCUUUUGAUAUCUGGAGCUCAUAGGUGGGAGACAGCUAAUACAUACUUACAAGACAUUUAUUGCAUAGUCAAACCAUGGAUCCAGAAGAACAAGUCAAUAAGUCAAAUCAAGAUGUGCAUGUGUGGCGAAUGAAUGGUGUAUGGUGAUGAUGGUGAUAACAAUGGUGAAAGUCUAAUUCUACUUAUGCUCUUUUGAGGGGAUACAUACCUUUCUUGCUCUUUUGGAACUUUUUGAGGAGAAUGAGAUGCUCUAUAUUUUCUUUUUCUUUCCUCUCAGGUGGGUAUCUUGUACCCCUAAUUCUACUGUCGGACACUUGUCCAUUUUUACCUCUCGUCUCACUUCUUUUUUUUUCUUCUUUUUUUUUCGAGGUUCCGGGCACUUGCCCCUUUUUAUUUCCUCGUAUUCUUUCUCUUUUUUUUUCUUUUUUUAGAGCACUCAUCUCAUGAGAUAAUGUAGCAAGUGGUAGUAACAAGAUAACUUGAGCAUUUAUUUCACAGGGGAAAACAUAAAUGUUUUUGGCUAUUCUCUCCCGGAUUAGGAGUAGAAUAUUUUUAGGUGAUUCUGGAGAUAGAAAUGGGUGGAUAUAUGUGGAUGGUACUUCUGGAGUAGAAGUAGCAUGUGUGAGUGAACAUGCAAGUGAAUCUUGAUUUAACCACAUGACAAGCUCCUAAGGGUCUACACAGCUUGACCACACUCAAUGCUCAUAAGCAGUAAAAAGUAAAUGUGUGGCUCAAUGUCUAGCAAGCAUGUAUAUAUGGUUGUGGUAGGAAUUUAAACUCUCAUCAUACAGGAACUCAUCAUGCAACAUUUUAAAGAUUUUCAAAGAUAAAAUUCUCCAGAAUUCUAGCAUCUCUAGCAACAGAUAAACAGCAGCUCAACCUUCCCAUAUCAUAUCCGUUAACGACUUAGACUUUAGAUCAAGUACUCUUCCCACAAGUUCAGGUUUAGAGCAAAUCUUAAUUAAUAACAGUGAUGCCUAAACUUGAGAGAGAUUUCAAUUUUGAGAACUAGUCAUGGCAGAGCAACUAUUCAUCUUUCCAUGUGAGAGCUUAUCAUGAGGGUUCAUAGCAAAUUUUAUUUAUUUAUUUAUUUAGCAAACUAAGCAAAGAUAUAUAUAUAAGCACAAAAUCUUUAUUUGGGUUUUUAUGAUUAUGCAUCUUUUUAUUAUUAGAGUAAAGUAUAAACGUGAGUGGAAUACUUAGCUGGAUAAAUGGGGGUGCUCUCCCCCAAGCUGGAUUUUGACGUAAUUUCUUCUGAUAUAGCUAGUAGGUGGUGGAGGUGUAUUUGAAUGUCAGCAGCACCCUGACAGUGAUUAGGAUGUCCUCCGUGUGCUAGUUUUCUUUGAUCCUUGAAUUCUGUGGAGCUCAAAUAGACAACAAAGCUUUGUGGAACUAGUUAAGUGUUAGCAUAAAUAUCUAGCCUUUAUCAUGUUGAGCAUCCUCAAUAAAUAUUACUCUCUUUAGUAGGAUCAUAAAUUUAUUUUUAUAAUUUAAAUUUUUAUAGGACAGGAAUAUACUUAUUUUAUUUUUACGCCACCACAGUGAAUGCACUUAUGGGUUUUAUGCCAUGAGCAUACUCACAUGGGGCUUACUAUUUUUAACAUUUUUAUUUUCUUUUCAAGAUGAUAUGAACCUGAUUAACUAAGCAAACUAUUUUAAAUAGUUGAAAGGAAAAAGAUAACUACCAAGUUUACCUCUUGGCAAGGCGUUCGGUGUUUUUAAGUCAUCCGAACGGGACUCUCCAUUUUCUCAGUUGUCCUGCGCUUCGCUGGAUGGCGUAGUCGGUGGUUCCGGUGGAGCCUGCUCUUCAUGUAUAACUAUCUUUUUUUUUCUCCACACCUGACUCGAUGCUACGGUCUCCUCAGGACAGUUCUGUUCAAGUUGUAUGUCUUCAGACCUUACCACUUCUCCUUCAUAGUCCGCCCAUCCAUCCUUGAUGAUUUGCCUUCUCUGGUUGCGGUUGCGUCAUCUUCUUCUUGUCUUGACCUGCUUAGAGUCUUCAACUAUAUAGUUAAGGUCAAUAAAAUAGCGGCGUACCUUCUCAGAGGGGAAGUUCAUGAGGACUUCUCCAGUUCUAAUGUAGAUGAUUGCUUUAACGGUGCUGAGGAACUGUCUUCCAAGGAUGAUGGGUGGAUCGUACUCGUCUUCUCCCAUGUUGAUAACCUUUCGGAAUGUCUGAUCUGCCAUCUGGAGAUGAAUGUAUGUCGGUUUUAGGGGCAUGGUUCCGAACAGGAACUGAUAGGUGACUGCGGCUAUUAUGUUGACGCCUGACCCGGUGUCACAAAGCAUCUUUUGGAAGUUGUAUCCAUUAAUGGAGCACUGGAUGCUUGGCAUACUUGGGUUGUCCUUUUUGGUCAGGAACAGUGACUUAAGUCGACGGGCUUGUCCUCCUUGAACUGUAGUGACCAUCUUAGCUGACUUGGUCCACACUUGCUUGUUCCUGUUCCUCCGGUUGGUCCUCUUCCUUGGUUCAUGUCGGGAUUGCUCUGAGACUUGUGUAGUCUUGUUCUUGAAGGAAAACGUCUCCUUCCUCCCCUCGAUGUAGAAACUAAUCUUGGCAGCACUAGCGUAGAUGACAGCUCCUGAGGUGUUCAGGAAUGGCCUCCCUAGGAUGAUGGGUGCCCUCUCAUCAAUACCAGUCUCUAUCACCACGAAGUCUGCUGGGGCGUACAAGGUACCAACUUGGACACAGAGGUUCUUCAAUAUUCCCUUUGGGAAACUUAGCGUACGAUCUGCAAGCUGCAAACACAUGGCUGUUUCUAAUAAAGGAUGUGUAAAGAAUUUUUCAUAGAGUACCCUAGGCGUAAUGUUGACACUGGAGCCAAUGUCGCAGAGUGCUUCUAGGAAGUCCACCAUGCCGAUGGAGAUCGGGAUGACGGGGCGUCUUGGAUCGUCUCUCUUGACCGGCAGAAGGUCAGUGAUUACUUCCACAACGGGGUUACUCCAGUAGUUACGUCCUCAAGAAUCUCAGGGUAGUGAUUGCCUGAGUGUCCAGUAUCUCCAGUGUGUUUGUGCUCGUAGAUCUAGGUUCUUCACUUGGUGGAGUCUGGGAGUUGUAAAAGUCCUUCAUAUUUUGCUCGAAGUGUACCUGCUCAUAGAGACAAGGCAGAGAUCAAGUGUAUGGGCCCUGUUGGUGGAAAACACCAAUAGAACCAAAAGUGUAUUUGUUCUUCUCUAACCUUAAGCAUAGUGAGCAAGACAAAGUUAAUGGAUAAUAAAAUCAUGAGUGUAGCAUUUAAAACAUUUGUCAGAUCAGAUCGCUCAACCUAAUGGAAAGAUAAUCUAUCUAUAUUUAUGUUGUUUUUUUAUAAAAUAUAUCCUCCAAAGAUUGAGUGUGCAACAUUUUAGCUCAUAAGAUUAGGAGUGUGGGAUCACAAAGGUGGAAGGACUAAACAUGUUGAAUCGAUUGGGUUGGUUAAUCUAGAGUUGUAAAUCAUACGUGUUUGUCUCUUUUAUUCAUGUGAACGCCAGAAAAAAGGAGAAGCUUAUAAAAGUGAUAGUCAAGUACCUUAAGAUGUUACCUUACUUGAAGAGUGAUGGUACGGUAUCUCCUUGUGGAAGCUUUCCUUUCUUAGCGGUUGUGCAUCGUGUUUGUAGCACCCUCCAUGGAUCAUCUCUUGUGAGCUAUGCCUUCCUUGUGUAAAUUGUUAAACUUCAUGUGCCUCUCUCUUUGUCAAAAAUGUGAGUGUAUCUCAGGACUUCCCAGGUCGAUAGUGAAAGUUUUCCUGCAGGGGUUAGUCCAACAAAAUAUCCCAUGUCUACUAUAGCAUACUAUCGGCUCACAAAUCAACCUAGACACCAUGUCUAAUUUGAUUCAGGAGGGCUUUUUUAACCUAAGCACCAUGCUUAAUUUAAAACCCCUUGGAAGUAAGAUCAUCAUUCCUAAACUAAGCACCAAGCUCAAUUAAGAGAUAAAUGAAACUACUCCAAACCUAGACAUAUACUAAAGCAAAUAAAGGUAGCAUGAGAGCAUUUAUAGAGAUCUACUCAAGUGGAGAUGAAGUAGUGUGAUUAGUAUUUAACAAAUUGAGCAUGUCUCAAAGGUAGGGACAACCAACAUAGCAACAUAGCAAAGGAUGUUUUUAUGUAAAGUACUCCCCCAAGCUUGAAUUUUGCAAAAUUCAAGUUUGGAUGAAUUUAAUUCAAUGUUGUAAGAUGAUUGGUUGGACAUACCUUGUGCUUGUCAUUCAUCCGAUCUUCUUGCUCCAAUCCUGGAAAGGUUAGUGACAAGAAUACCCGAAGGGAUAUUUUUUUCAAUUGUCCUUAUAUGCUCAACACACAAGGUAAUGUUGCAAAUAAUUAAAAGCUCAUGUUAUGAUCUGAUCAGUGCUUGUUUUGGGACACUAAGCUUGUCCUUGGGAAACCAUCAAUUUAUGUCUGCGAAGUGGUUUCCCCUCCAACGCUGACCUAUAUCAAGAUCAACUCAACGAGAUCUGCAAUAUUUAAUAUAGACAUAUGCAUCGACAACCGCCCUUUUAAAGUUUUUAUAAAAAGAAAGGAAGAGGGGGUUGGUGAUCUCGAAUGUGGUGAUGUUGGAAAAACCAAUGGAUUAGGAAGAUGUUGCAUAUGAGCAUGGAGUAAAUGAAGUGGUUAUGAAAUAAAUUCCAUGCUCAUUAAUGCUUAGAGUGAAAUCCAUGUGGUAUGGUGAAAAUGAUAAGGUGAAAAUGGUAUAAAAGAAAAAGAAAAAGGAUACACGGACGACUUGGUUCGAAACUAGCACAGCUACCGUUCCCCGGCAACAGCGCCAGAAAGCUUGUUGGGUAUUUUAAACGCAAACAGAAAAAUCCGCAAGCGCACGGAUACCGAUGUAGCUUUCACCCGGGAGUAUUCCAAAGUAUCGAUUUUCCACAGAGAACGUGAGUGUACUAAUUAAGAUCCAAGAUCGCCCAAGGAUAACUAUAUAAUUAUUUUUGGUGGAAAGAGAGGAAGUUUCCUGAGAGUUCUCUAGUUGAUCUAAGAAUCAAGGAUUACUUCAAGAUUAUCUAUAUCGGGACAUCAGAGCACUAACCACAGAAAGAGAUGAGAAGGGGGCUAGGAAGGUCUGACUACGGUCCUACAAACACCGAUCCGAACGUGGUGGAAUACGUCGACCGUUAGGGCCGUCACUACCCUAAGGCUACCACAACAAUCCGCAGGAUUGGGUGCAAUUCCAGGUAAUCGCAAGACUAAACACCACGUCUAAUCUAUUAAUUACUACUCUAGCGUUAUAAAGACUAGAGCACUUGAUGCAAGCGGGAAUCCAAUAAAUAACUUGAAUGUAAAUAAAAGUAAUUAGAGAACCAGGAGUUAUGAAUUGAAGAACCUAGAGAACGAUGAAGAACGAACCAGUUGCUGCAAAAGUACAAUGUUGAGGAAGAUCCGACAGAUCCGGCUCUUCCUCCGCUCUCCUCUUCUCUCUCCCUAUUUUCUAGAUUACAACUAGAACUAACUAGAACUAGAACUAGAGGAACUAGAACUAGAACUAGAUGAACUAGAACUAGAACUAGAUGAACUAGAGGUAGAACUAGAAGAACUAGAGGGAUCCUCUCUACUUGGAUGAAGAAUUGAAACCCUAGCUUUGAUUCUGUAGAAGAGGUAUGAUAUCCAGGGGCCAGGGGGUCUGGUUUUAUAGUCCCUUCAAGUGAAUCUGGGCCAUUGGAUCAAACCGACAUUGAUCGUGUGGUUUUCCUUGAUCCUUUAAGUCGGUGGAGCAAUAUCCCGAAAGAGAGUCCUGAUUGGACUCUGGCUGAGGGCGGGCGCCCAGGAAAGGUGGGCGGGUGCCCUGUCCCUGAGUCCUCUCGGCCUCCGCUUCCUUCCCGUGGCUUCUGGAGUCUUCUAGAUGGUAGAAAAUUGCGCAGCACGUUAAUAUCUCUAUGUAAACCCGACGUGUGGGCCUUUCUUUCGUAUUUCCUGAUAACCCCCUGCAGAAAUAGACAAACACCAAAACUCGUGGAAUUCUAUCAGAUAAAACCCUAAGUCUAGGUGUUGGUUGCAUAUAGAUCCUUUUCCAUGAUUAGUUGAUGGUUAAAUGUGAGCAUUAAGGACCGUCAACAACGAUCAUAGUUUCGCUAACACAGCCACGAACCGAGAGUUCCAAGACGGCAGCUGGUUACAGCAACUCGGCAAGAUCCCCCUGGCAUUGGGAUGCAACGAAACGUGCGUCGGUCGCUAGUAGAUGGAAAAAGAGAUGCGGUGAGGGAAGGCCAAGGCUAAAUAGGGCUCGAGAAAAUCAAAUCCUGUGGAAAUCGGGAUUGGGAAGGUUCGGUGGACUCCAUCAACUCCGGCUCGGUCACGCAGAGAAGGAGGAGGGUGCUGCCCUGUGAGCCCCAAGCGUCAGAGUAAGGAGCGUUGGGUCCUGGUCGUCAGCGGCAGAAAAGAGGGAGGGAUGGCGCACGCACAUUCCUGGGCCACGCACUGGGCCGAAACCUGGGCCGCACGUGGGGAGAGGGAAGCUGGGCCUUGGACACUGCCCUAGGCCGAGAGCAUGUAAGCUUUCUCUUUUUUGUUCUUUUCCAAAAAUUUUUCCAAAUGAACUUUUGAGUACAAAUAAAAUAAAAGUAGAAACAAUCAGCACAAAAAUAAUUAUGCUCCAGCAUGAAUGCAAAACAUGUUCCUAACCUUAUGACGCAUUUUAAUUUCAACAAAAAUUAUUUAUUUGCUAUAUUAAAUGCCCACAAAAAUACUUAAAUAAAUCCAAUUAAAUCCUAUUAAUUGAAAAUCAGAUUUUGGGUGUUACAAAUUCUACCCUCCUUAAAAGAAUCUCGUCCUCGAGAUUGAGCAGUGCUUACUCAAAUAACUGUGGAUAUGAUUUUCUCAGAUCAUCCUCUCUUUCCCAAGUUGCCUCUGCUUCUGAAUACCGAUUCUGUUGCACUUUGCACAGUCUAAUGACCCGACUGCUAGUGGCUCUCUGAGCUGUCUCCAAUAUUUUAACCGGAUAUUCUUCAUAUGUGACAUCACCCUUAACAAAAAGCUCUUCUAAUGGUAUUUGCUCCUCAGGUACUCGCAAACACUUCUUAAGUUGUGACACAUGGAACACAUCAUAUACACCAGAUAAACUUUCAAGCAAUUCCACCUGAUAGGCCACUUCUCCAUGCCUUUGCAAAACUUUAAACGGACCAACAUACCUUGGAGCUAGCUUUCCUUUCAUACUAAACCUCUUCACACUCCUCAUUAGUGACACUUUUAGAUAGACAUAAUCACCUUCUUCGAAAGCCAACCCUUAGAUUAUCCCGUAUGGUCUGCACUUAUUGUUCUGCAUGCCUAAGCACAUACGUGCCAAACACCUGGGUCUCUCCUGUCUGAUUCCAAAAUAGAGGAGUCCUGCACUUACGACCAUACAAUGCCUCAAAUGGUGCCAUCUUAAGACUCUGCUGAUAGCUGUUGUUGUAAGAAAAUUCUGCAUAUAGCAAACUCUUGUCCCAACUAGUUCCAUACUACAGUGCACAAGCUCUCAACAUAUCCUCUAGGAUCUGAUUAAUCCUUUCAGUCUGUCCAUCUGUGUGGAUGAUAUGCUGUACUAAAAUUCAACUUUGUUCCCAAGGAAUCAUGCACCGCUUUCUAAAAGUGGGAUGUGAAUUGGGUACCCCAAUCAGACACAAUAUUCUUAGGGACCCCUUGUAGACAUACAAUCUUUUUAAUAUACAGCUCAGCUAGGCGUCCUUUGGUAUACUUAGUCUUGACAGGUAUAAAAUGAGCAACUUUCGUCAAACGAUCUACUAUCACCCAUAUUGAGUCAUACCCUCUCUGUGUACGUGGUAAACCCACUAUGAAAUCCAUACCUACCUCUCCCCACUUCUAUUCUAAGAUCUUCAUUGGUUGCAACAGUCCAAUUGACCUCUGAUGUUCAGCUUUCACUCGCUUGCAAGUAUCACACACAGUAACAUACUUAGCCACAUCCCUUUUUAAGCCAUACCACCAAUACUUUUGUUUCAGAUCUAGAUACAUCUUAGUGCUACCAGGAUGAAUAGAAUAAGCUGAUUCAUGAGCCUCUCGUAGAAUCUUAUCACGAAUAGCCUUCACUUCAGGAACACAUAUCCUUUUCCCAAACCACAAUAUAAUGUUGUCAUCUAUCCUGAAUCCUUGUGCCUUACCUAGUACCACAUUCUAUGCUAUCUCCUUUAGUUUUGUCGAGGAUAUCAGUAAGGGGUACCCCAACUGAUGUGCAUAACGAGAAUAACCGUACGCAAGUCGAGGCCUCCAACUCGACGCCCUACCCACUAAUACACACGGUCCUCGACGGCCAUAGUCUCGAACACGGAAAGAGCGUCCUGCGAAUCGACCAGGGCUCGAGCGCCGGCUACCGUCGAAUACGGAAACAGGCUCGAGCGAAUCGGAAGGCGUCGAGCGCAAGGACGCCGCCCGCCGCCUGACGCGGGCACGGGAACCAGGGCGUUUAAUGCGCCAGCCGCAUUCUCACCUAACCCGCCAGUCACGGGAAGCGUGAUAGGGAACAGGCACCCGUCCUGUCAUUCUUUUUGCAGCCUUCCCCACCAAACAAGCUAGAACAUGGCAGGGUGCAGGGAGUGGGUCGGAACGUCUAAUCAAGACCCCCCUCGAGACGCCCAAGGUCAGCGCUCUGGCUAGCAAAGUGUUACACGGCAUCCAACCCUCGAGUAGGCGUGUUUCCUUCCUAGGGAAGUGUUGGGCGACGAGUGACAGCACCUCAACCACUCCAACGCAGCUGCUGCCGCGACGUACAAGCGUGCAACAGAUAAGCCUGUCCAGGACGGCGUACAGAGCGGGAUACAGAGGCACGCAUAAUCAUCAUCAAGGUACCAAGACAAGAUGGCUUGAGACCAUGCCGGUAUAGAGGCCUCGAGUAGGUCAGCGCGCCAUACCGAUAUCGACCCCUACUCUGACGCCUAUACAUGUACCCUAGGCCUCUCCUUGGAACUAUAAAAGGAGAGGCCCGGGAGCGGAUAGGGACCACGCGAUACAAUACAACACUCACGCUUAGUAGAGCUUCCAUACUCCAUCUCCAUCCAUCUGACUCCUGUAUUCACCCCUGUACAAGCACUUAGGUGCAAGAUAAUACAAACACCUCCCCCCCCGCUGGACGUAGGGCCUUCUCUUGCCCGAACCAGGAUAAAUCUUUGUGUCUUUUCUUGCAUCACUAUCUGGAAAGGGGAGCACGCAUAUAAGUUUUAUUCGUUGGUGUGACCCCCCGUGGGGAAAACACCGACAAGUUUCUCAUCCUCCAACUGUCCUUUUAAUAUCUCCAUCUCUAAAGUAGGAGUCACCUCUAUUUCCAUAGCAUUCACUACAAUUCCUAGGUUCAAAUAUGCAAAUUCAGCACACAACUCCUCAGAUUCUGGUGUCGCCUGAAGCUCAUUAGCAUAUUUCAUCCUGCUAAGUGCAUCAGCUAUGACACUCGCCUUUCCAGGAUGGUAAUGCACUUCUAAAUCAUAAUCUUUUAUCAGUUCCAACCAUCUACAUUGCCUCAAAUUCAGAUAUUUCUUCGUGAUGAUAUAUUUCAAACUCUUAUGAUUAGUAUAUAUGUCACUCUUAUGCCCAAUCAAAUAGUGUCUCCAAAUCUUCAGUUCAUGGACCACUGCUCCUAAUUCUAGAUCAUGAGUAGGAUUGUUUCCUCAACUGUCUGGAUAAAUAUGCUACCACUCUACCCUCUUGCAUAAGAACACAACCCAAUCCCAAACAAGAGGCAUCAUAAUAAAUAGAGAAACUAUUACUCAGAUUUGGCAAUACCAACAUAGGUGCAGUAGUCAGUCUCUUGUUAAAUUCCUCAAAGCUAGCUUGACACUUAUUAGACCAAACAAAGUUAGCAUUCUUCUCUAACAGAGCAGUCAUAGGCUUUGCAAGUUUUGAGAAUCCUUUAAUAAAUUUACAAUAAUAACUAGCUAGAUCAAGAAAGCUGUGAAUUUCACUUACAUCUGUAGGCGGUUUCCAAUUCAGCACAUCUUUCACCUUACUAGGAUCCACUGCAAUACCACCAUUAGAGACAACAUAGCCAAGAAAAGAAACUUCUUCCAACCAAAACUCACAUUUACUAUGCUUAGCAAACAACUUAUGUUCUCUAAGUUUUUGUAAGACCAAUCUCAGAUGUUCAGCAUGUUCUUCCUUUGUUUUAGAGAAUACCAGUAUAUCAUUGUCGGUGUUUUUCCCAACGGGGGGUCACACCAACGAGUAAAUUUGUAUGCGUUCUCCCUUUUCCAGAUGGUGAUGCAAAAAGACACAAAGAUUUAUCCCAGGCAAGAGAAGGCCCUACGUCCAGCGGGGGGGAGAGUUUGUAUUAUUCUGCACCUAAGUGCUUGUACAGGGGUGAAUACAAGUGUGGGAUUGAUGGAGAUGGAGUAUGGAAGCUACACUGGCCAUGAGUGUUGUAUCCACUUGUCUUCCGCUCCCGGGCCUCCCCUUUUAUAGUUCCAAGGGGAGACCUAGGGUACAUGUAUAGGCGUCAGAAUAGGGGUCGAUAGAGGUAUGGCGCGCUGACCUACUCGAGGCCUCCGUACCGGUGUGGCCUCGAGCUGUCCUAUCUUGGUGCCUUGAUCAUGAAUACGCGUACCCCUAAAACCCACUCCAGUGCGCCGUCCUGGACUGACUUGGCUGUUGCAUGCUUGUACGUUACGGUGGCAGAUAUGUCGGAGUGGUUGUAGUGUUGUCAUUCGACGCCCGACGCUUCUCCAGGAAGGAAAUGUGCCUACUCGAGGGUCUGGUGUCGUAUAAUGCCUUCUCAGCCAGAGCGCUGACCUUAGACGUCUCGAGGGGGGUCUUGAUUAGACGUUCCGACCCACUCCCUACGUCCUGCCUCGCUCUGGCUUGUUUGGUGGGAAGGCUGCAAAAUGAAUGACGGGACGGAUGCCUGUUCCCUAUCACACUUCCCGUGACUGGCGUGUUAGGUGAGAACGCGACAGGCGCAUUAAAUGCCCCGGUUCCCAUGUCCGCGUCAGGCGGCGGGCGGUGUCCUUGUGCUCGACGCCUUCCGAUUCGCUCGAGCCUGUUUCCGUUUUCGACGGUAGCCGGCGCUCAAGCCCUAAUCGAUUCGCUCGACGCCCUUUCCGUCUUCGAGGCUGCGGUCGUCGAGGACCGUACAUGUGACUGGGUAGAGCAUCGAGUUGGAGGCCUCGACAUGCAUACGGGCAAUCUCGUCAUGUACACCAGUUAGGAUACCCCUUACUGAUAUCCUCGACAGUAGCCCCCGAGUCUCCAUUUGAGCGCUGGCGCUCGAGUGGAGGCUUUAUUUUGCGGUUGAGUUUCCGUGGGGGCACGUGAGCGACCCCGCGGGGGUAGCCCCCGAGUCCUUGGAGGAGUUUUUGACUCCUUUGAGGGCUAUAAUGCCUAACUUGUGGAAAAGCCCUCGAUAUCCAUCGUGGAUGGUUCUGAUUGAUUCGUUUUACGUAGGGGUCUCAACGUACUCUCAAUAGAGCGAGGGUCAUCUACCCCAGAUUGAGCUCCUAGCGGGUGAACCAAGUGAGAACCUGUGCCCCUUUCGAGGGGGUCAGCUGCAGCCCGGGGGCGUUCUCAUAAAGCGGGGUCGACGUGGUCGGGGAUGCUGGUCUCAUUCGAUAGAGUCCAGUGGCUCGAUGCCUCCCGUCGGGGGGAUUCCUCUCGAGUGUCUCGACCCUACCUUGGACAUCCCCAGCGAGUUCUCGAGGCGGGCCUCAAUUUUUGACCACUCGCCGGGCAUCCCUGACUCUAGUGCUUGAGAUCGG